UUUUUUUUUUUUUGGUACAUAUACUCAAAUAUAAUGGUUAUAUACAAAAAAAAAAAAAAAAAAAAAAAAAAAAAAAAAACUGUAAAGUAAAUGUGAAGUUCUUGAGUUUACAAGUUGACAAUUUAGGGAUUGUAGGUGUAUAAUUAACGAUGGAACAAAAGUUGGGAGAAAAGAAAAGCCAAUAGAAAACAAGAUUUACUUUAUAGAAAAUUAAACAAUAUAUUAUUUAUUUAAUAACUCAAGUGUUAUCUUUAAGAUUUUUCUAACUCGAAAUGAAACACAAAUGAUCUAACAAUAUACACAUAUUGAUUGGCUUCAUACUUGGUGCCUUAAAUAAUCUCAGAUUGUUCAAACAUAGGUUAGUACCUCACAUGCACGGUAGAAAUUAACACUUCAUUGGUGUAAAUAACCUAUAUAUUCUAAAAUGAAAUGACACACAACUAUGGAAUGUAUAUAAUUGUAAAUAUUUUAUUGUAAUAAGUAGUUUUAUUUCCUUGAGAUCUAUUCGUAAAUAUUCCCUAUACUAUUAUCUUUCAUCCCACAUCAAUAGCUGAUAUAAAGUAUCCCUUCUCUUUCUAUUUUCACAAUUCUACUCUACAUGAUACGGAGCGAUAGUACCUAUUGUUCUUAUUCAUAAUUUAAAGCAUGAUAACAAAAUUGGAGUGCAUUCAAUAAUCGAAGUAAAACUAACAUAAAAAUGACAGCCAUAACAGAACUUUCACAAAUCAUUGUAAGGGGCUUUAAUUCCAUGAACUGUACAAGUUCUUGAUUUUCUUAAUAAGAUUCAUACAAACUAAAAAAGGCAGUUUCAUUCCUUCACCAACUGUACACCAUAAUUUAUCUUUCCUUUUUGUUUUUUUGGUUGAAAGGAAGAAGGUUUUAGAGAGAUGGUAGGUAGUUACCAUUUGUCCCUUUGGUCUUUCUCUAUAUGAUGAUCUAAAAAAAUGUACAUUUGUCACUGAUGUAAAUGCUUUUCCUACUUCAGGAGCUCCAUGUUUGGGUGGGUACUUCUCUCUAUCUCUCUCAAGUAACCUCCUUUUCACAUUGGAUCAUCACAAGUCGUCCCGCUUGAAAAAAAUUAAUCUUUUUGCAUCUCAGAUUAGUUGGUCAGAUGAUAAAUCGAUCAUUCGAACGCUGUACAAACCAAUACAUGAGGUAACCACCACUGGACCAAAUCGAGCCAGAUGUUAAUUUUAGUCACACAGCUGAGCCUUCUUAUCCUUCAAAAAUCAAAUUGUAUAAAGAAUUUAUCUCCCACUUGUUCAGUCUACUAUUCCUUUCCCCUCUGUUCUUAUUAACUUCUUUUCGCAGGAAUGAUUAGGUAAUAACAGUCUUUCCACUCCAAAGAAAGCUUCUUACUCCUCAGAAUCAGCUCUUAGUGGGUGGAUGCAUUCAGAGUCAAAUACCAUUCAUGCGACCCGACAAUGUAGCGCUAGGACUCAAAUCAAGAGAAGGAUUUGCUUUCACAUGAUCCCUCAGGAGCUGCCGAGACACUCGGUCGGCCAAAAUGUGUUGGCCAUCAUACACCUCACUGUAAGCAGGCCGUCCGAUCUGCUUUCCCAAGACUUCGUUUUCUGGUAUCAUUUCAGAGAAGAUGUGAGCCCCAGGCUGCAACCCUCGGAAAAUAUCGGGAUUUGAAUCAUGGAAGGAGAUACCGCUGCUGUAUGGACUGCUAUUUAAGGAUUUUGGCAUGCUUACAAAUCCUUCUUGCAAGUAUAUAGUUUGUUUCAGGUGGUUGUAAGGAAUUGCACCACCACAUCCUGUCAAAGGUGUGGAUGAUCCCGACAUGGUUCGUGGACUUGAAAUGGGUGAAGGAGACAUUCUUCCACUAGGGUGUUGAGGAGAUCGUGAAUGCAAAAGAGGGCUUCCGAUUGGCGAAACAGGACAUGAUAUGUUUCUGGAAAUAUUGAUUUCACUGGAUGAAAAAUGAAAUCAGAAAUAAUCUUAGCCCGAAUCAGUAAAAUAUUAUUUAUUUAAUGAAUUACUUGUUUUUGGUUGGGGAUUGGGUUGGCCGUUGGGGAGAAGAGAACGAACCUGGCAUGAAGAACAGCUUUUGAGACUCUUGAAGAAUGAACUGCAAGUCUACCAUCCGAGUCCAUAGAAGUAGUCCGUGAUUGACCAAUACCCUGGAAGUGAUUAAUGGACAAAACUCAAAACCAAGAUGGAAAGAAAAGGGAAAUCAUUUCAGAACUGAUGAAAGGAAGAAACCAGCAAGACAAAAACGGUUAGACUGAAACACAGCUCAAUCAUCAAUCAUAUGCACUAUGCAAAUUAAGAGAAGCUGUACAGACAGAAACAAAACCCACAACCACAAGAGAGCCAUACACUUUCUGAAACAAUACGCUGUGAUGAAUCAAAAUGCAAAGCGAAAAGGUGUGUACCAAAAUCUUCACUCCGUUUGUAACUCCAGGAGUUGUAUCAGAAGGUUCAGAGAUCAAAAUAGGCCUCUCUACAGGUGCAGCAUGUUUGACAAAAGGAUGCUCCAAGAGUUGAGCAGCUGUAGGUCGAUGAUGUGGGUUUCGUUGCAGACAUAGUCUAACAAAAUCCUUCCCAUCAUCUGAGAGGUGCUCUGGAAUUACAGGGAGUUCCUUGCUGUUACCAAUCUUAAACAUCGCGGCAACCUUUAACAAGAAAAUAAAUGUCCCACCGUCAGAACAAAGAACAGGGUACUGUGUAAGAAAUGUCAGAGAGCUUCAAAGAAACAUUCAACAUAGACUACAUACGAACCCAAGAACUUUCAGAAGAAAAAACAAUAAUGUGCAAAAUAAGACUUGUGGGUACAAGUUACAAUCAAAGCUUCUAAUAAUAAUUAAAAUAAAAGAUCAAAUACAACAAAGGCUUCCCUUUUAAAAAAAAAACACAACAAAAGGCUUUAACAAUUUAAGAGUGCUUUCGCAUAGAGAUUUGGUAACAAAGUGUAUUUCCUAAUGUUGAAAACACUGUUAUCGCUUAGAUAUUUAAUAGCUUCCUUACCCCUUCGUACUGGCUCCAUGGUGGCUUUGUAGUAGCCAUCUCCAGAACAGUACAUCCAAGACUCCAAACAUCAACGGCAAGGUUGCAACCAUUUGAGUUCUUUAUUACCUGGCAAAAUAUUGGUUCAGACAUAUGAUGAUAUGAAUCAAUUCGUUAUUAUUUUUGCUUAAAGAUACAACAAAUUCUCACCUCAGGUGCCAUCCAGUAAGGGCUACCCUUAAACGAUAGUGGACAUGAUUGACCUGUGAUCUGUAGAACCAAAAUAGCAAAAACUUUUAAAGUAAAUUCUAGAAUAUGUAAUGUAAAUAUAGUAGAUAUAUAUGAUGAAAAUGUGUAUUUAUUGAUGAUUAACUAAUAGAAUCCUGGGUUUUCAAUAAUAUAUAUUUUUCAUGAACAUAAUGAUUAAAUAAAGGGAAAAACACACACACACUCCCACACAAUUUGUAAUUAUUAUGGAAUAAUAUUCAAUUUUCCAUAUUACAAUGGACUCCAAUUAUUAAAUUUUUAUAAUAACUUCAAAUAUUGCUUCUUACGUACAAAUCUGAUGUGCACAAAAUGGUUGAUAACUGGCUCUAUAAAUUUAAUGGAUGGAGAAGUCAAAAUAGAAAUGCUUUCAAAGCAUGUAAUUUGAGGCUUAAUAAAGGUAAACUCUGUGAGCUAUCUUACAUGCUUCGCCAUCCCAAAGUCUGCCAGUUUAACACGACCGUUCGGGUCAACAAGUAUGUUUGCUCCUUUAAUAUCCCUGCAGAGGUCAGAAGUUCAAUUGUGCACCGAAGCCCACAAACAAUGUACAAUAAGAUUGUAGUAGUUACUAACGCAUGUGUCAGAGAAAUCGUGGGCGUAGAUGUAGAUGUUUAAAAUUCACAUCACAAUUACCUGUGCACUGUAGCUUUAGCAUGCAAAUAUGCAAGUCCUGAUAGUAUUUGUUGAGUAUAGCUACGGAUUGCUAGCUCCCCAAAUUGUCCAUACUCUUGAAGUAAUUUAUAAAUGGAACCACCAGAUACAUAUUCCAAAUAUAUAUAGAAUUUAUCACCCACCUGUUACAAAUGUUUCAAAUGACUAAAAUAAAAAUACAAAUAAAAGAAGGAAGUCCAAAACUAGGAAGAUUAUAUAAGCACUUAGAUCCAGAUUUCCAUCUACACCCAUUGUAUGCAGCAACAAUGGUUAAUUGAAAUACAAAUUAGGUCUUGAGUCAGAUCCUAUGCAGUAUAGAUGCUUCACCUCCAGGACUUGUCAUCAUUGAAAAAUGUGAACUAUCCCAGUUAAAACAAGGGUCACAAAAGAAAUCUUGUCAGCUUUUCUCUUGGUCCAAGGACAAUGGGUGUGGGUGCCGGUGUUCAGAAAAGCAACCCAGGUGCUCUACCAAGUUAGAAAAGUAACCUAUUCUUCAGUUCUUUCAAUUUAACACGUCCAAUAGGGUAAUGACAAGGCAAUGCAAAGGUGUUUAAUACGAUUUAUAGCAUUAAAAAAUCAUUAUCUUGAACCUCCCUCCAUCUCUCUCUAACCCCCUCCCCCCCAGCAGGCCUCCAUUCUGAAUGGAGGAAAUUUCAUCCAUGGAAAGGAGAAGAAAACCAAGAUGACUGCCUCUUCGCAACAUCCUCCCUUGAUAAUAUUAUAAGGAGAAUGUUAACAGAAAAAAUAAAAUUAGAUGUACUCACUGUUUCGGAACCAUAAUACUGCACGAUGUUGGGAUGCCUCAAACGACUCAGUAAAGCAAUUUCCUGCCAUAAAAUAGAAAAAUAAAUUCUUAAUAAAACAUAGAAAUACUUUAGGGUGAACAAACAGAAGCACUAGAACGGAUCCGCAUAAAAUGGAAUUUGUACCUGCAUUAAUUGCUUAGCACUUUCCCUAGACUUCGCAUCAUCAGAAAAUAAUGUGACCUCCUUCAUUGCACACAUCUCUCCACUUUCGCUAAAUGAUUCCAACAAUAAACCAAAAAAUAAAAUAAAGUAAAAUAAGAAUGCAAUAUCGAAAGAAAACACAACAGAAUGUUAAGUACUACUAUCUUAUCUGUGGUAGAAACCAACCAUGUUAGGCACAAAAAAUGACAGGCCUCAGAGCAAGAGAAAUAAAUGACAUCAAUACUAUAAUCAAGGUAUCAUAUCACUUAUAUAGAAUAAGCUAUAUAAGUCUAUAGCAUCAUGACUAGCAAUGAAAAUGAACAAGCUUUUGCCUGAAUCAAUGAAAUUAAAAAAUUGAAUGUUUACUCUGUUCACAUACCUAUUAAAACCGACAUAUACAUGCCCAAAUGUGCCCCGACCCAGUAGCUUCCCCUUUUUCCAGCGUGGACCUGGGCUUGCUGGAGUCUCUGUCCUUCCUGGACUUCUAGGCACUGAAGGAGAUGUCACUGCCGAAUUCGAAUGUGAAAAUGGAGAACAGAUUGAGAUUGCUAUGGGAGGAAGAGGCAAACGAUGAGUUUGUUUCUCAUCAGGCCAGCAUGUUUGUGACUCAGCAGGUGGAGCUCCUGCUCUAGGAUGAAUAGGUGUGACAGCACCGCUUUGAAUUCUGGAACUAGGACCAGGGCUAGUCAUUCUGGAACUAGGUACAGGAGAAUAUUCAGGGCUACCCCUACUUUGUUGCCAAAAAAAGUGGCCCGCCAUAUCACCUCCCAUAGAGUUGUGCCCUGAAUUGUGACCAGAACCCGGGCUAGAACAAUGGCCAGAUCCACCUAAAAUGACAUCUGGGUGAGAUUUUCCAGCCCAAACAGCGGCGUUCAUGACUUGCUCAGUACUAAAUAUCCUCAUAGGACUUCUAGAGGGACUAGACAUAGAACUAUCUGGUGCGCUAAAGAAGGCCCCAUGACGAGGAACUUGUAGAUUUGUUACGUUGCUGCUUAAAGGCCUCCGUUUAGGUAUUGAAGAAUUCUUAUGAGGAAAUGGAAGACUUUCCGCUUUCUUGCCUUCUUUUAAAUUUUUUUGCACGACAGUAGGAGAUUGAUCUUUGAGAGUUUCACUUCAGAAAAAUCCACCAAAAAUGUAAGGGACAAGGAAAAUAGUAAGUUAAAAAAACAAUGCUACAAAUGCAAGCUGGCAGCUUAAAACAGGGACAAAAUGGGGCAAGUAACCUUAUUCAACCAUUCAAUAAAGAAUAAGAACAAUGAAAUGGUCUCCAGAAUGAAAGAUAAAGGUGAAAUAAAGGUAAGAGAGAUUACCUAGGUUCAGUAGAACCUAUCACAGUUCUAGCCCCAAUGUCAUAGUCAGUUGCUGGAGGACUACGUUGACGUGAAUCAUUGGGAUCAUCACUAUCACUUGAGGACUCACCAAAGACUGAACCAGUGACCAAGUCUCCAUCCAAAUCUGCAGGAUCUGGCCUACUUCGAAUACAAGCAGGUCUAGGAAGGGGUAGGAAUGAGGAUGUCUUGGAGCUUCUCUCUAAUUUGGAUUUUGCUGCCACACUAAUCCCAGAAUCUGUGCGACCUACACCUACAGGUCGCAAAUCUGGAAGUGGAAGUUUGUGAGAAUGCGUUCUUUCAGCAAAACUUUGACAUCUAGCUACUUCUUUGGAAGGUGAUGGUGAUCUUGAUAUUGGUGAUUUGGACCCCUUCUCAGAUACAGUGUCACCACCACGUUUACGAGAACUUCCUGAUCUGCUGUUUACUUUACCUUCAGGUGAAUUCUUAAACUUUCGGUGUAAUGAGUCGAUGAAACUUUCUUUACUUGUUUUCUUCUUCACGUCUUUGGACGACUUCCCCCACCAUGAAGGCAUUUUUCUUUUGUUUUAAUCCAAAAUUAUGUGGAAGAAGCAAAGAAGCGGCUCUAAAUUGAGCUCACUCUCCAGAGCGAAAAUAUUUUGUAACAAUAGAUGCUAAGAAGAUGUUACACUUCCAAGGCAUCUGACAAGUAAAUGAUACGCUUCAAUACCAAAAGUAGCUUUCACCCCAUAGGCACACCCUGGUAAAGCUUUGAUUGAGUAUCCAAACUACCACUUCAACUAAAUUUUGAGAAGGCCCAAUAAUCAAUUACAUGUAACAAAAUCCUGCAUGAAAAGGAAGUGGAAGUUUGAGUACUUAAGAUAUCAUGAAGAUGAUGUAUCUAUAUAUACAAACAUAUUACACACACACACUUCUAAGAAGAAAUGUCCUGAUAGCCAGAACGAAAAGUAAGCUUGUGCAUGCAGGAAAUUCAGGAUUUCACCACUUCAGGUAAAACAAACAUGUUUCAAGCAGACUCUGUAUCCAUUAAAUUUAUAUUCUUCAGCUGGAAUACUGCAAAAACUGGGUAAGUUUCUCUUAACCUUUGGAAAUCUUCCACAUCACAUGAAUAACCGACAAUCACAAUCUUACAGUUCGAGUCUGAGGUUGAAAGUUGAAAAGUAGAGGUAAGGCUAUUGGACAAUUAGAGCAUUUCUUGGUUGAUAUGGUCUACAAUAACAAAAUACUUUUGAACAUUUAAAUUAAGAGAAUAGUGGACAGAUUUCAAGCACUAUUUGACUCUCGUUAAUAAUCCCCAAAUCUAUUUCUUAAUUGGAGACAGUCAGAUUUCUAUUAUCUUAUCAUUGAUAAAUUUGAGAUGCUUUCACAAUCCCCAAAUCUACUUCUUAAUUGGGGUUAUAACAUUUUGUCCCAUUUCUCACGUAAUUACUUCUAUUGAUAUAAAAUAUAGUCCAUGAUCGGCAUUAAAAGAGAAGUUCCAUGGAUGGAUAUAAGAAGGAAAAAACAAAAUAUAAACAAAUAAAGAAUCCUCACAAUAAAGGAAAAAUUAAUGGAUAAUGAGAGCUUGAGAUCAUUAAUGUACACCGGCCGAACAAGUAAAAACGAUAAAUAGUCAACAUACAUAUUACAUAAUCAAAUCCAAGCUCUAAUCACUUAUAUCAUUCGAUAGAAACCCAAAUUCCCACUGCAACAAAAUGAACUUAACCAUUCACUUCCAAAUUUACUCCUUUUCUUCCCCACGACUGUUCAAGAAAUCAAACAACGAGCUACACGUCCAUAUCCCCCAAGACUCUACUCAACAAUACAGAUCUACCAAGAAUCUAAUAUAGACAAACUAACCCACAGUGUCUAACGUAACUAAAACCAGAUAAUCAGUAAUUUUACUAAAAUUAGAUUAGAAUACUGAAAUGAAGAAGUGGUACCUCAAAUUUUGGAAACUGCAAAUUCCAGUAGAAUCCCACUAUACUCGCCCAAAUCCUAGUGAGGUAGACUUCAACAAUAAUUCAAAGUGAAGAGAAAAAUUAGUGAAAAUCGAAACCCUAGUAAUCUGAAAUCACAAAUUAUCAAAACCGAAGAAGCGUUGCAUCAAACAAUCUUUCUCCAUUUUCAUGUUGAAUUGAAUUUUGAGAUUGAGAGAAAAAUCGCCAAAAAAAAAAAAGAAAGAAAGAAAGAAAGAAAGAAAGAGAAAGACUAAAGAGCGUAUGCAUCAGCGAACGACAUGGAGUUGUCCGAAAGUUCAUAUUUUAUUAAUUAUAUUUUAAACUUUAAAAAUUAAAAAAAGGCGUAAAUAAAAUAAAUUAUUUCAUCAUUCAUUCAUUGCUUCUCUUUUCUCUUUUUUUUUUUCCUUUGUUUUUCAUUUUCUCUCUCUCUAUAACCUUUCGCUUUAAUAAACUUUAUUUUUAGUAUUUGAUUUUGUAUCUAAUUUUUCAAAUUAUUUUAAUUCUUACGUAAUUGUCAUUCCAAUCUUAGUUUAUGUCAAACAUAUAAUACUAAUAUUUUUUCAUUCUAAAUAUUACUAAUAAAGAGAAGGGAUUAUUGUGAAAAAUAUUUAAAUACUUUUAGAUUCAACUUAAACAAAUUAAGUAUUGUUUUUCUAAAAAAAGAAAAAAGAAAUAUUGAGUGUUGGACUUUUUUUUUUCUUGUUAAGGUGGCUGUGAGAAUAUUGACACGUGAAAAUUAUAAUUAUUUAAUGCUAAAUUUAUAUUCUUUUUUACAACAAAAAUUCAUAAUGGAUUUUUUAAUUAAUACAAUCAAAUUGUUAAAAGAUUAUAUAGAUGAAUCAAGAAAAUGGGUGUGAUGGAAACUCCUUUUUCAGUUCAGCUAUAAAUAAAAUGGAUCCUUUGAAUAUUGGACGUGUUUGAUUGGUUAAAUGGACUUUUGUUGAAAUGUGACAAAAUAUAUUUUGAUAUAGAAUUUUUUAGAUAAAUACCAUAGUUGUGUACGAAUAUGAAGUUGUUGUGACAAAAUUUCAUUUAACUUUUAAAACUUAUUUUAAUAUAAUUUCAUCCAUAGUGUUUAAUUCAAGUUUGUUUAUUAUUUUCAAAAUUGCAAAUCAAUUACAUAUAAAAAAAUUAUACGAUUAAAAUCACAAUUAAUGUAUUUGUAAUUUUGAACGAGAUAAUACGAAGUAUAAACUAUUUGUCAAAUAGUGUAUAAACUUAUGAAAAAAUAUAGUUCAAAACUUUAGUAGAACCUAAAAUCACCACCGUGAUAAAUAUUAAAACAAAUUUAUAUAUUGCUCCAUUUUCUAACCUAAAUUUUGAAAACAUUGUUAAGUUUGGAAGUUAAGAAAUAUUAUUUUUUUUAUAUAAACAAAAUAAAUUAAUUAAUAAUAAGUAAUUUCUUUUUAUAAAUAUAAAGAAAUAAAAAGACUAAUUAUUAGUGGGUCCUUAAUUAUUAAGUAAAUAAGUGAUGAUGUCUAAUGUAGUAGACUUCAUCAUUUUGUGCCCUUUACUUAUUUAUAUUUUUUUAAUAUAAAGUUAGAAAAUCAUAUGGAUUGUAGCAAAUGCAUUUACUUUUCCAAUACUUUAUUUUUAAGAAAUCGAAUAACCAAUAUUUAGAAUUAAAAGUAAAUUAAAAUAGCACUUUAGACUUUAUAUUCUUUAUACUUUUUAAUGUACAAAUAUGAUUAGUUCUCAUACUCCAUAAAUAUUAAACUUUGUAAUAACCGUUAGUUUAAAUUUAAUUUUAAAAAAAGUAUUAAAACUAUAUUAUAUAAUAUGUUUAAUUUUCAACCUAUAAUUAGUUAAAUUUGACGUAAAAAAUUAGUCAAAUUCGUUUACUAAAUUUAAGCAUAGUUUUAAAGUUACCAUUUAAAAGUAAAAAGAGUAAAUUUAAAUAUUUACAAGAGUAUAUAGCUUAAAAUAUAAUAAAUCUCAAAUAUAAUAUUUCGAUAAAAAAAAAAUAUUUUAUAUUUUAUAUUUAGAGAGUUUGAUCGUGCUAAUUGUCAAUUAACUAGAAUAAUUUUGGUAUCAAAUAAAUAAGGUUUUUUAAAAAAGGUUUUUAUGAGAGAAUAUUCAAUGAAUGGCUACAUAUGUUUGUUUGGAGUGAAUGUAAAUUGAUAUUCACAAAAGUAAAUUUAAAAUGAUUGGAUUGCUAGUUCAAAAUUUUAAUUAAUUGGUACACCUCAAAUUCUGUAGGUAAUAACAUUUCGUUUUUUAUUUUUUAAUUUUUAAAAUUAAAUCUAUAAACACAUUUAAUUUGAACAACUAAAUCUAUGUUUUGAUAACUAUUUUUUAUCCUUAUUUUAAAACUAAGUCAAAUUUGAAAAAUAAUAAAUUUUUAAAAACUUGUUUUUGUUUUUGAAAUUUAGCUAAAAAUUGUGAAAUAUUAUACCUAAUAUUAAUAAAUAAGAACAAAACGUGAACACACCUAAAUUUCCAAAUAAUUUUGAUCUCCAUUUCUACCACUCACUUCUAGAGAGGAUAGAUAUCGUUUGAAGAUUCUCUCCUUAAGAUGGCAGUAAAAUUAGGGUAUUUGCAUUUUGCAGUUGGAAAUAUAAAAUAAAAAAGAUGAAACACAAAGAUUCAACCAAAAGUAAGAUUGGAUUAAUAUGUAUUUACUCCUAAUUUUUUUAAGAAACUAUCUUAAAGAAUUUAUUGAUUGUUAACUACAAUCAACUAUUAUUAAUUAAUUUAUAAACAUGUUUCAUAUUAACGCAUCAACCAAAUAUAUAUUUGUUGAACUCAUAAUACUUUUAAUGAUCGAACAAAAUUUACCUUAAACUCUUUUAAAUACUCGUGAGUUUAAAUAUUAGUUUAGGUUAAAUAAUUUUUAAAUUAAAAACACUUCUACACAUUUAACACACUACUUUGGUAUAACAUUAUCAAACCAAGUGAAAAUUUUGUUUUUUUGUAAUUCGUUUUAAUGAAAAUAUAUUUCACUUUGGGAAGGACCACGAUAACUACAUCUUAAUCUCGUACAACUUUUUAAAAUAAAUAUUUAAUACGUAACAAAUAUUAAUUGAAUAAGUAAGUGAAGAUAUUUAUAUAUUUGUAUAAUAAAACAUAAUAAUAUUGUAGUUUCCCAAUUAAGAAUUAAAAAUAACUAUAAGGAAGAAAACGAAAGGGCUAAGUUGAAGUAAAAGAGGUAACAUACAAUAACUAAAUAGUGAGAAGCCAAUGAACAAAACUCAAUUUGAAGUGAGAGAUAAAACAGUAUAAUUGAGUGAAAAUGUUAAAUGUUAAAAAGAGGUGGGUGUUAUUGAAAUUGGUAAAAAAGAGAGAACAGAAUGAAGGGACUAAUGGGGAAAAAGUAAAAGUUAAAGAAGGGGGUAGAGAAAAGGGAAUAGUGACAAAUUGGAGGGGUGAGUGAAUUUGUGAACUUGUAAGAGAGAACAUGAAAAUGAAAAUGGGGAGAGAAUGCAUAAUAUUUUAUGGGAGCAAGAAAGGUAAGGCGUUGUGUUGGUGAUGAAAGAAGGUUGGCUAAUCUAUAUACCAACCAAGGGAGAUGUAUCAGCACUUAAUUCAGAACGUGGGAGUUGGAUAUGCACCUUCGCACUUGCCAUUCGGCCCCAUUUUCAUCUUAUAUAUUUUUGAACUUUUUUAAUUGAGAAAAAGAACAAGAACAAGAACGAGAACGAGAUAUUUUUUAAAAAUGCUUCACACUUAACAAGCUCCUAAUAAGGAGUGAGUGUCCAUGCACAGUAAGUAUCACGAGUAAUAACAUCAAAAUGAACAUCUUCGUUCAAACAAAUAGUUGCGUCAUAAUUCAACUUAAAAGAGUCAAUAAGAGAAGGAGUUGAUCAAUUGACAAUCCAAAAAAGUGAUCAUUCCAGUAAGAACACUGCCAACUAAUAGGAUCAAAGUAAGGAGAGAUAUGGGCAUGGAACACAGACAGAUUGAUUGCCUAAUAUGCCAAAUUGUUGAAGCAAUGAGAGUAUAGAAUGUGAAUUUCGAGGGAGUUCAAAGUCAUACAAGCAAAAAAGGGAGAAACAAUAUCAGAAUAUUGAAUAUUAUUUUGCUACUCUCUACUUUCUUUUUUUCUAUCUUAUAUUCUUGUUACGUUUUAAUUUCGUUUGUGUUUUUAAAUUUUGGUUUAUUUAAAGAAUUUUGUUAGGCUGAUCUCUCUCUAUUUUGUUUGAUCUCUCUCUAUUUUGUUUGAUCUAUGUACUUCUAAAAACUAACUAUUUUAAUACCAUCGUUUUCAUUAUUUUAUUUCUAUAGUUUUUCGUGUUUUGUCCAAUUUUUAUAAACGUCGUUAAAAUUUGAAAACAUGAUAAACAAAAUUGAAAACAUUAUCCAACCGGCCCUAGAUUUUUCAGAAUGCAAGUAUUAAUAAUUUUUAUAUACGUAUAAAUUUUGUGUUAAUAUUUUGAGAGUAAAGAUCAAGAAAUGUCAUUUAUUUAAGUAUAAAAGUCCCAAUGCAUACUUCUAAAGAAAUAUAAUUUUAAUAUAAGAUAUAUUUUAGGGUUUAGAUUUUCAUUAUUUCAAAAUGUUGUUUCUAUAAUUUAAGUUUUGAGUUUGGUUUCAAAACGUUACCGAACACAUUUUUUACUUUACCUUUUUUUCUUUUGCUAAUUUUAAUAUUUUUGUCUAUUAAUUAAUUUAAAAGUGGUAAAGAAAUUAGAAUGGGUUAAGUUUCAUUAUUUUUAUAAAAGAUUUUUACUUCAUAAUUAUUAUAAAUUUGUUUAAUAUAUUUAGUAAAAUAUCAAGGUUAAAAAUGUAAAUCUCCCAACACAAAACCAAAAUUAAAGCCUUCCUAAAAUUUCAAAAUUAAAACUUGAAAUUAUAAUAUUUUCAAAUAUGAAAACUAAAUUGAAUCAAAUAUAAAACAUAAAAAUUAGUACAACAUAAUUUGGAAGCCUACAACUGAAUGGAAAUUAUACAAAAAAAAAAUAUAGGUUUUUUUUUUUUUUUUGUCAAAUUGUACAAAAUACUCGUAAACUUUGUAUUUUGUGUCAAAAAUACCUUUGAAUUUUCAAGUUUCAAAAACACAACUUUUAUAAAAAAAAAAAAAAUAUUAAGAGCACUCCUAUCCAUAGUUUUAGAUAAAAAUGGGUAAUGUUUUGUUUCAAAAACACUAGUGAACUUCCAAAAUCGCUAAUACUCCUUUCAAAAAUAUUCUUAAAAUUUAAAAGUUCCUAAACUCUUUAACCUUAAAAGAAAAUAAAGCUUUACAAUAAAAUAAAUUUGUGUUGAAGAUUUUAUAAGCUAAUAAAAUCAAACUAAAACACAAAUUACAUACUCAUUUUUUCUUCACAUAGACACUCUCAUUCUUUUUCUAUUUGUUUAAUUCUUAUACCAAUUUUCUCACAACAAAAUAUAAACUAAAACUUCAUGUUAAAAUAUAAAGAAUUUAACAAAAUCUCACAUAAUUUUAAAAUAAAAAUAUUCCCCUAAAUUUACCAAAACAAAAACAAUAUAUCUAGCUAUUUACACAUACUCAACUACAAAUGUAUAACAUCCUAAAACAUAUAAUAAGUCUUAAAGAUCUCACUUGGUGCUUUAUUAUUUCUCAUGUGUACGUGUAUGUGGUUACUAACACAAUUUUUUUAAAUUCUAAAAUUAUUUUUCAUGUUGUGUUAGCUAUGUGUACUUUUGUACAUUCAAAAGUAUUUUUUAAACUUUCAAAAUUUAAACAUAUUUUAAAACACGUUAGUUUAAGAACAAUUUCUUAAACUAUUUUUAAUACAAACGUUAAAGUUGAAAUAAUUUAUUUAUGAUUAUGAUUAUUUAUUAUUUAUGUAAAGGGGAUUUGCAUGUAAUUUAAGUACAUAUGAUCCGUUACGGAUCUCCUAUCUUGAAUUUGGGCCGGCCCAUUAUUUUCAUGUCUUGAUUGGUUUACUUUGUCAGCCCAAAUGUAUGUGUAUUUUCUCAAAACUUAAUGAAAUUUCAAUUUUAUUUGGUAUGAAAUGUAAAUAUUUUAACAAUUUCCCCCCUAAAAUUUAUAGUUGAAAUGGAUGAGUUUUGGUAAAAUUAUUAAAUGGUUAAUUUGUUCAUUGGACCAAGUUUUUUUGGGGCAAGACAAAGGAGGAGGAACAACCAAAACCAGUUCCUCUCUCACUUCUUCAUGGCAGAUGAGAGGAAGAAUAUAAGAAGGAAAAACAGUUUUUCAGAAUAGAAAACAAUCUUGAGACCUGAGAGGAUGUGUCAACGAUGCAAUACCAUGAGCGGUUUUGUCCUCAAUAGAGAGACUUUGAUAUCAGCUAAAGAGCCCUUCUUUUUUUGUUCAUCAUAUUUUUAGUUUCUAAUAUAUCAAAAUUCAUCUCAAGCAAUACAUUUAAGAUUUGACCCCAACCACUCGUGCUCGACCAUAGAAAUACCUUCCAAAAUCCCUUUAGCCGACUAAAUUAGUUAAGAAUCAAAAUUGAUAUUCUCAUCUGUAAAAUCAAUUUUGGGACUAUUUUGUAAAGGCACACAUCAUAGUCUUUAUAUUCAUAGAUUCAAGCAUUAAUUCUUAUGAUAACUAAGAUGUGAUCACAUCCUCUCCUUCUCAUAUUUUAGAUCAUUCUUAUAAUUGUUUUAAGAAAAUAAUAUUUCUACGCUGAGGAAUGACUCUUACAUAGGGAUAGAGUUUCAUUAUUCUUUUAAAUUUUAAAUGAUUAUUUUUUGUUGUUUUAAGGCGAAAAAAUAAUUUAAAGAUAAAAGAAAGGAUAUUAAUUCUAUUCAUCAUCAAAGAAUAAUCUUUCGUAUUGAACCAAUCUGAUCACAAGGAAACAAUAACAUGUUUUUCCAAUUAUAUUGAGCGAAUAAAUACUAUGCUAUUUUCCAAUUUCAAGGGUACAAAUUGUGGAUCUCUAAAAAAAGAAAUCACCAAAUUGUGUUUAAGAUUUUAUAUAGUGAGAAAAAAUAUACCUUCUUUAGUUCUACAAUAGGUACGUCAACGGGUAAAAUUGUUGAGUUUGAAAGCUUAAUGACCUAAAUACAAUUAAAAUAAUAUUUCCUAAAUAAAUAUGGAAGAAAUUAGUGACAAUUAGUGACUUAAUUGCAAUAGAGGGGUUUAGUCCGAGUGCACUUGAGAUAAGACUUGUGAAAAUAAAGCUUCCUAUAGUACACUCAUAAUUACUACCUUCAAUAUGCCCUCUGUGCAUGAAAAAUAAAACUGCCAACACCUUUUCUUCAAUGGUUAGGUUUUUUCAAGAACUUUUCAAGGAAGUUAUUCUUACACUUUAAUUUGAAGUGGGUUCGGCGCAACUCUUUCAGAGGAGAAUGUUAUGCAUAUCUAAGUGGGGCCUUAUUUCAGAAAAUUUUUAUCAAAAGUUUGUUCCUUGCCUUAUUUAGGUAAAUGGUGUCAAACUGAUCCCCUUGCAAAUUUAGUUUCAAAGGAAUCAAAAAAAUUGAGGUAAGGGUUCAAGUUUGGUGCUCUUUUUCAAAAUUAUUUACGGAGUACUCGAGUGCAUAUUAGCUUAAAUUGAAAUGCAUUUAUAUUCUCUUUAUCGUUUUUAGUCUGGUUUGGUGAUGUUUUGACUUAAUUUUGUUAUUAUUCCAACAUUAUUAAGAUUUUAUGUCAUUUUGUAUUUCAUUCUCUUAUUUGGAGAGUGAUGAAUACAUUUUGGGUGUGUCGAAUUAGAGUGUACCUAUUGAUCUCUAGUUGCUUAUUAUAUUUCAUUUUAAUUUGAACAUUAGUACAUUAGUCUAUAUUCAGUGUUGUUUUCAUUAUUAGAUGACAAAAGUAGAUUCGGUUUAGUUGGUCUUUUUUUUUCCUUUUUUUUCAAAUUCAAAAUAAUCUUACAGAACAAAAGUAACUAAAAAUAUAAAUAUAAAUAAAGAGAAAAUGAAGGCAUGCAUCGAACAAAAAAUGGCUAUUUAUUGGUUCAUUUCCAUUUUCAACUCAACCAUAUAUUGAACAUUUGUUUCAUACUUAAAUUUGUACAGACUUUUCAAGGAAACAUUCUUCAUUUAUAUAUAUAUAUAUAUAGAUCAACUUCAAACGAAAUCUACAAUUCUAACCUUCAUAAAAUAAAACUUUAUUAUAGCAAAAAAAAAAAAACAAUAAAAUAAGGAUAGUAAAGACAAGAAAAUCAUUUUAUAAGAACUAAACCAAUGGCUGUGACAAUAAGAGUUGAGGGAAGUCCAAAUUUAAGAUGAUUCCAGAAGGAUAAAUUGUAGCUUAGCUGUGGAGUGCGACGAGCCUGUUCACACACAAUCAAGUUGGCAGCUGACCCUAACAAUGAGAGAUUUCCAGCUACAGUACUGAUCCAAGCUAAAAGAAGCCAUGCCCGUUUUUCUUCGGUUGGAGAAAUUGCAGCAGCCGAUGCAGCGACUCGUGCUCCAAGCAGAAGAACUAACAAUAUGACAACAUAAAAGUAUAAGAUACAGUUGCACUUUCGUAACGACUGACAGGUCAACCGAACCAGAGAAUUAAAUCAAGAAAAAUUAUGUAGUCAACUCUUUUUAUUCAAGAUUUAAUCAAAUGAAGAUAUUAAUUUGUUGAGUUAGUACCUAUCUACCCUAGAUAAUCAUGAAAUCCUGAGCUAACAACCUGGGUUUUUUCCUGUCCGUUCAUUGCUUUAUACUACGAAAACGAAUUUGUGUUUUGUCAAUAUGUUCAUAACCUCAAUCUUACUCGUACAUAUCAGAUGCAGUGAUCGUCUAAAUAAUCAGAUAUUUCUUCACAGAUUAUUUUGUGCAUUUCAAAUCAUCCAACACCAAAAACAUGCAAGUAACAAACUUCAGGGUUUCUAUCCUAUAUUGGAAUCUUCAUUCUAUGAAGGCUAUAAACAUUCAGAAGAGGAAAAUGGAAGAGGUAAAAUAUGGAAAGCAAGCAACAGUAAGAGGAAAAGUAGUCAAUACCAGUAGGCACGUUUGAAGCCAAGUUUGAGAGGUACAGUAUGACAAGAGCAAGAACUACAGUGCCAGAAACACGAUCAAUCUGUGCAUGCGGCUCCAUGAAAUUCCAAAAAGCACUUGGCAAUCCAGUUUUGUUAAAUCCAUCAACCGUCAUAAACAUCCCACAAAAGAAAACUAAAAGUGAAUAUGAAACCUGUGGAAAUAGUAAAAAAAAAAAAAAAGAAUUGUUAAAUUUCAUCGAAAAACUAGAAUUUGUAAUGAUUAAAGAUGGGCAAAGAAAUAAUGGUUCAAACCUUUUCUAGGCAUGGCUGAGCAUCCUUGAAAUCAAGAACCACAAGAGCGAGUGCAGCAGUCACGGCAGUCCAUGACAUAUCCAAGCCCAUCAAUAAAGCAACAAGCAUUCCUACAGUCACAAGAUAAACACAGGAUUUCCAUGCAAUCCUUCUCCAUUUGGUGCUCCAAUGUUCCUUCCCUUCUGAGGACUGCAAAAUUACAGGUUCUUUCUGUUUUUCCAUUGAGUUGAGGCUCUUAGAAGAGAAAUCUUCUUCCCUUUUCUGAGUAGACGCAUUGGGCAGCCACUCUUUUGAAGCAUCAGAUAUUCUUGCCGGCUCCGUCAUAGUACUAUGAGACCUGCGGAUUUCUUCAUUAUCUUUUGAACUUACUGAAUUUCUUAUAGUUUCCACAUUUGUGUUCGAGCAUGGAGGACUUUGUGCGUUCAUCAAAUCCAAUCGAGAAUCCCAUUCUGCAGAAUUAAGGGAUGGAAUUUGUGAGUGUGAUAAUCUGGCUGGUGAAAAUCUGUGAGAAAGAACAUCUUCAUCGGCAAUAACUUCUGGUGAUGGAUCUUCUUCAUCCUUCUGGACAGAUAACAAUUUCCAGUACAUGAUAAGAAUAAUUAAAGCAUUUACAACAACACCAACAAGCAUAGCUGGGAGUAUUCCAAUCACAAAUUGCCCAAAAUGAAUUUUACUCUGGACAGCUAUGACCAAGUUUUGGGGGUUGCCAAUCGGUGUUGCUGAAGAACCAAUAUUUGCACUCGAUGCAAGGGCAAGAAGGAAGGGGCGGGGAGGAAGAUUAUGUUGCCUGGCAAUUUUUAAAACAAAUUCAGUCAAAACCACACAUGAGGUGUCAUUGGUGAAAAACGCACUUGAAAUUGCAGAUAUCAGACACACUCGACAAAUUAAAUCCUUUGCUCCUUUACUCUUCCACGACAGCACCUUACCCAAAUACUUGAACAUAUCAGCUCUUUCAAGAUAAACACUAACUACCAUUGUUCCAAACAGAAGACCAAGUAUUGGGAGAUCAAUGGCCGCAUAUGCUUGUUCUGGAGUUAGGACUCGAAAUACGACCAUGAGCAUUGCCCCUAGGAUAGAACCUGCUGUUCUCCCAAUUGGUAGAAAUGGGAUAGCAGGGAAAACAGCUAAUAACCAGAAGACUGCGAAGGCAAUUGAGCCUAGAAUGACUUUUACAGUAUGAUCCAUGGCCAUGUUUGCAAUCAGAUUCAACUCGAGUCAGCUUUGAACCUGAUUGACUGGAAUUUAUUUCGAAUGUCUUUUCCGCAACACAGUACCUCAGUAUCUUGAAUCAACUACUCAUCCAAGCCAAGCUGAGAAGAAAAAUUAGUUUAAAUAACUUAAACAGAGUCAUAUGAACAAAAAUAAACUAUAACCAAAAUGAUAGAAUGCAAGGAUAAGGGAGACAAGGGAAAAAAAACAGUACUACAAGGAACCUGCUAUUUAGCUUGAAACGAUGACAAAAUUUCUGAACAUAAACCAUCAGUGAAGAAUUUAUAUAUGAACCAUCUAACUUUCUAAAAGCUAAACUCUAAGAGAUAAAUGUUGAUUGAGCCAACUUGUACCCAUUUCUUCUAUAUUUUAACUUUGAAGAUAAGAAGUCCACUUGCCAUGUAACAUUAAUUUAGAAAAAGUUCAAGCAAUAUAUUGGGAAUGAAUAUUAAUCUAAUAGCUAGAACUUUUAGAAGUAGGACUCAUACAAUUGUAUAGAAAAGAGCAUGGUAUCCAACAGUACUAGACACUCUGCUUUUUCACCCACUUCUAAAACAGAUUACCAACUGGAUCGUAUUUGGGUAGUGACAUUAGUUUCUAAGUAGCCAUUGCCAUGGAAUUAAGAACCCAAAUCUUCAAAGAAUAAUAGUGGAAAUACGAAAUUCAUUGACCAAUAAGAAUAAGAGAUGGGAACCAAAUUAAAGGUAGCAAAAUUAGAUUAAAUUACAAAAAGUAAAUGCGGGUUUUUCAAAUACUUCAGGAAAGGGCGGCUCUAAGCUCUCAUGGCUUAAAAAUGGAACUUCAAAACCUCCAAUACAACCAAUACAAAUACAUCCCAGAUUGAGAAGUUUAACAAAUUCAAGUUUAAAAGACAAAAGAUUAAGAGGGCCCCAACAUCAAAAGAGGAAAGUGUGUAAAAAUGGACUGCAAAUUGAUACACUACCAUUGAAAACAGAUCAUCAAAAACUAUAAAGACGAAUCAACUUUUGUAACCUCCUUAGUGAAAGCUUAAAAGAACUUACAGAAAAAAUUGUUUGCAUCUGGAUCCAAAAAAGAAGAGAUCAAAUCUUGCUCUUUCUGUUCGAAAACGAAUAGGAAUCAAAUAAAAAAAAAUGGAUAUUAUGGAGGUUCUCACAGUAAUUGAGAGGAAACAAAAAGUUGAACAAACUUCAUUUCUGUCCACAUGGUGAGCUCUCGGCUUUUAUAUAAAAUAAUGCCUACCUACAUACGACAGAAUUUUUGCGUCAGUAAACAAUUUCAUAGCUAUUUCGUCGAGCUGUUCAAGUUAUCUGGGAAUGAGAUUCCUAAAUCCAUUAAUAAAUGUAACUCCUAUUUACAUUUUCGUAGCUAAAAAUAAAAAUUGAAACAAAUACUAUUCAUCGAUGUGUUCAGCAUAUUAGCCGUUCAUUUCAUCACAUACAAUUAAUUGUGAAGAUCGUGAAGCUUUUUUUUCAAACUAAUGGACAAAUUGGGAUAAGGGUUAGUAAUAAUUGAACAGAUUUUUAACCCUAAAACUUUUAAGAACCAUCCCUCAACAAAAUAUACCAUUUGUCCUAUCAAUUUCAUUGUAUCCAAUCUAUCACAGUCAGGGGCGGGCUCCACCAAUCGUCGCCGGAGCAGCCAUCGAUGUUUUUUGCUCCGUCGUCGAAGAAAUCGCGACUUUCUCAUUAAUGAGUCAAAGGCCCUACAAAAGAGGGGGCCCCUUAUGAAGCUUCUAGGCUGGACCAAGUCAACAGGUGCACCUGCAAACUGAAACUCAAGGUUGAAGAGACAAGUGGCGGCGGCGGCGGCAGUGGACGGUGGAUCCGCGGAGGAGGAAGGUGGAUCGUGGACCAAAUGUGGGGACGGAUGUUGGUGUUAUAAUUAAUUGUUCUUAUCUCUAUUAAUUUUUUUCUUUUCUUCUUUUUUUUGAAAAGUCAUUUAUUUUUUUCAAAAAAAUUAAAAUAAAUAAAUAAAUAAUAAAGAGAAGUGUUGCAAUUUCUCAUAAUCUCAUCAUUGAACUUUUUGUAGCAUUUAAUAAAAAUUUAAGCAAUCAUUUAUAAAUUUAAUACAAACUCAAUAAAUGUUAUAGUUGCAUGAAUUUAUCUUCUACACGUAAAUUUUAUUAAAUGCAUAUUUGCUGAUUAUCAAUAUAUAUAUAUAUAUAUUGUAGGUUAGGUGUUGUGUGCAUAUACAUUAGAGUUUAGACUAUUUGUGGAGAGAAUUGUUCGUAGGAUUCGAUACUGUUUAUAGAACUCUAUAUCUUACUUUUAUUUAAUAUCAUCUACUGUUGAAAAUUAUUCAUUUUACCUCAAUUUUUUUUUUAUUUUAUGUAAAUUUUUCUUAAUUUGAAUGUAACUAAUGGUUUCAAACCAUGUUUAAGUAAAUUAAUUUCUCAAUUAUAUUUUAUUUAUUUUAAUCGUAUUCAGUUUUAUAGAGUUAUAAUUUGAAUUUUAUUCAAACAAAUGUUUUAACAAAUUUAAUUUGAAAAUUAUAAGAUACAAUAAUCCUUUUUUUUUUUUUUAAUCUCUCCUUCACAUAUUUAACUCAAUGCAUUUUUAAUAACAACAAUAAUAAUAACCCAAUAACAAUGGAAGUAUAAUUAUAAAAGUCAAAAUGUACUUAUGUCCUAAAACAAAAAGUAUAUCAAAAAAAUUGUAAUAAUAAAGAAUGUACUUUGUUUUCCCUUUAUUUACUUGGUGAGAAACUUAAGCCUAUUAAAUACAUCAUAAAUUGAUUAAUAGAUAUCUUAUUUUUAGAUUCAAACAAGUGGAAGAUUUGAUUCUCCAACAAAUAAAUUUUUAUAAAGUUUUGACUUUUGAGUGAAGUUAUAAUACAUUUCAAUAGCAUAGGCUAGUUUUUAUUUUCAUUAGCAAUCUUCAAAACACUCAAACUAAUUAAAACGUUAUACAUAUGGUAAAGCAAUGUUAUACAUAUGUAUGUAUACAAACACUUUUAGUUGGUAGAUUAUAAAGCUUUCUAUGUAAAUUCACAUUUUAAAUCAAUAAAAAAGGAAAGAAAAAAACUUCUAAUAUCAGUCUACUUUAUUUAUUUGAGGCAGAUAGUAAUGUCUUCAGAUAUUUCUCAAAUAUGUAUCUAAUGCGCAAUUUUGAUAUAUUUAUGUUUUUACGUCAACGUUUUUUUUUUAACACAGAAGAAAGUAGCCUAUUUAAAAAAUUUAUUGUCCAAAACUUACGAUACAAGAAAAAAUAUCUUGACCGACGUAUAAAAGGAAAAAAAAUUAAUAAAUAAAAGGCUUUACCCUAGAAUCAUCAAAUUCUAUCUUCACGUUUGAGUCCCUACAUAUGUAAGUUUUUUUUUUUUCUUGUGGGAAAUUUGCGAUGGAUGACUAUUUUAGCAAUAAUAAUUAAGGAUAUAGCAACAUUUUUAAAAAAAUUGCAAAUAUAGCAAAACUAUCACUGAUAGACUUGUAUCGCUGAUAGACUUCAUAUGGUAUAUCAGUGAUAGACCAAUAUUUGCAACGUGGUCUAUCAGUGAUAGACUUAUAUCAUUGAUAGAAUUUGACAAAUUUUGCUAUAUUUGCAAAUUUUUUAAAAUUGUGUUAUAUACUUAACUAAUUUGAAUUUAAUUGCUAAAUUUGCAACUAUCCCUUUUUUUGUUGCUUGAUUUGUGUUCUGUACUAUUAUAAUUAACUUGACAUUUGAUGAUUUUUAGUACAUUUAGUAAAUUACAUGUUCAAUUUACCUAUACUAUAGACUUUUAUUUAAAAGAAAAACGUGCCUUCAACGUAUCAAUAUCUUUAUUUUUUAUAAAUUGACAUAAUGUCGUGUCCUACCAUAUUUGUUUAUAUGCUUCGUACAUCCAUAUUAAAGUGAAUUUUUUAAAAAUAGUUUUUUUUUAUUUUUCUUGGCAUUUAAAUUAAAAUGAAGUUUUAAAAAAACCACAUUUUAUCUCUAAUUCACUUUUAGAAAAUUAAUCAUCGUGGAUUGGUUCAAUAAUUAAAAAGAGACAUAACUCCAGAAGUGAUUAAUAAGUGAAGUUUAAUAUAUGAUGUCUAUCUAUCUAAUAAUAAUUUCUUUAAGAGACAAAUCAAAUAAUUUUAUACAUGUACAAAAAUUAGAUUAAAGACUAACCUUUACCUUUAUAAAAAUAUCAUAACAUAAUUUAAAUUUAGAAUUGUUUGAUUACUAGUAAUUAAGUCCAAAGUUUAUACAAAUACACCAUUCAACUCAAAAUAAAAAUUUUAGUAAGUACAAAUAAAAAUAAAAAUAUUAUAUUGGUUAAUAUAUUUUAGAUUAGGUUUUAUUUUAUUCUCUAUAUUUUCAAUUUUAGAUCUCAUACACUUAAUAAAUCGUAAACUCAGCCAUUCAAAAUUAAUUUUUAUUAUCAAGUUUUCUUUUUUUUAAAAAAAACUAUAAUUGCUUUUCUAUGAGAUAUGUUUUCACAUUUAUAGAUACAAUAAUGCUCCUAAAAUCAUCAUUUAAAAACACACCAUAGGUAGAAUUGAUCAAAAUCAAAAGUAUACAAAUCUAAAAUAGUAUUUUAGUCAAAUUAUAACCGAACUUUUUACGUGUAAGAUGAAAAGUUUAUAUAAAUUAUGUUGACAUUUUUAACCUAAUAUACGAACUGAACAUUUUACGUGGAAGAUGAAAAAUUUAUACAAAUUAUCGUUGACAUUUUUAACCUAAUAUACAACCGACCUUUCCACGUGGAAAAUUAAAAGUUCAUAUAAAUUAUCGCUGACAUUUUAACCUAGCUAAUUAAUAUUUAUUAUUUAAUGUAUACCUAUGAUUGAACUAUAUGAAAGAGGGUUGAAAACAAAACACAUACUAUAUAUUAAUAAAGAUAUGAAAUUAAGUUAAAACACCGUAGUCAAAAGUCAUCAUAUAUAUAAACUCAUUUAAACCCAAAUAAUUAAUAAUGACUUCAAGAAGAAAACCAAUAAUAAUGUAAGUAUAUAAGUGUCAAAGUCAAAAGUAUGUACUAAAAAAAUAUGAGUAUAUUUUAAAAAAAUUGUUGCAAGUAGAUAUAUAUAUAUAUAUAUAUAUAUAUAUAUAUAUAUAUACAUCUAUAUUUUGUAAUUUUAUUUCUAAUUUGUUUAUUUCAAUUAUUUUUAGUUUAUUUUCAAUGUUUUCAUUACAUCCCACUUUUCUAUUUUGAAAUUGUUUAUUAUUAUUAUUAUUAUUAUGGGUUUAUUUUGCACUUUAUUUCUAGAAGUUUUAAUUAAGUUAUAAAUGCAAAUAUAAAUGCUCUUUCUAUCUUCUAACCGCUUUAUCUCUAAAAUUAGUUGAAUAUCUUAGUUUAGGAAGAAAAUUAUGAAUAAUGUUGAUGUGUAAAUUAUAUUUAUAAUUAUUCAAAAUGUAUGUUUAUCAUUCAAACUAUAUCUAACAAUGAAAUAAAUCUUGAGGACAUGAAAGUAAUAUUAAAAAAAAUUUAAAAAGAACUAAAAGUUAAUAUUCCUCAAGAAAGUAAUAUUAAAAAAAAUUUAAAAAGAACUAAAAGUUAAUAUCAUAUACCAACAAUGUGCACUUUCCUUUAUGAUGACUUGAUGAUAGAAACUUCAAAGUUAAGUGUGCUUAGCUUGGAACAAUCCUAUGUUUAGAUAACCUCUUGAGAAUAUUCCUAAGAUGCACGUGAGUGAGGACAAAACAUCCUGAAAGGACUCAGAUUGGUAUUUUCACUCUAAUAAACCUUUAAAGAUAGUAAAAGUGAUUUUACCAAGUUGCAAGGGAAACAGCGCAAUGUCAUAGAUCCAAAUUCCAAAUUAUGAUUUAAAUAUUGGGUUUGUGACGUUACAAUAUAUACACACGUAAUAUUUGGUUUAAUAUUAUUUUACAAAAUCUCUAGUGUUACUUUAAUUUAUUCUACCCUUGUAUACUUUUUAAAGUAUAGAAAGAAAAAAAAAACACAAAUUGAAAUUAUAAGGAUUAAAAUGAAUAAACGAAAGUAUAAAAAUAAAAUAAUAUUUAACUCUAUUUUAUUUCAAGGUUGGGUCCAUUAGAAUGAAUUAUAUCUUUGAUCCUUUUUUAUACUUUUUUUUUCUUUCAUUUUAAGAAUUCAAUAUUAUAUACAUGAUAAUGAUGCAUGUUUCAUUUUUCUCUUUUCUUUUUUAGUUAAGAGUCCUUUUUUGAGGUUUUUUAAAAGAAGCAAAUUAUAAAAUAGAUUAAGUUUGUGAAUAAAAUAAUGUUAAUGAAAACAUGAAUAUAGAAAGGAAGGUGUUACGUACUAAAAUUGUGACACGUAUCAUUAAUAGUUUCUUACCAAAAAAAUGAGACAAAUAAAAAGUAGACACAUAAUAUAAUGUGCAACAUUUAAUUAAACGUUGAAAACCAAACACUAAGAUACAAAAAAAAAAAAAUAUAUCAUAUGAUUUAGUCAAUAAAUAUUAAUUGGUUCUAAAUUUAAACAAAUAUGUCAAAGCAAAAGGAAACUAGGGCAGGACCCACCCACUAUUUCAUCAAUAAUACAAUUUGUCUUACCAAGAAAUGUGUGAAAUGCUAUUCUACAUUUUCAAAUUAUAAAUUGAAAACCAACAUUUUAGUGUAUAUAUCAAUAGAAGUUUAUAAAUGUUUGCCUCUCUCAGUAUUUAUCAUACAAAUUGUUAUAUAUUUUUGUAGAUAUUUUAUAAUUUUGUUAUUAAUUACCCUAGCUUUUAAAAAAUUCAAAAAGUUUGACAGCUCUCUCGAUUUUUUAAAACGUAUUAUUGCAAAGUGCCUCAUUUGAGAUAUUUUUUUUACUUUAUGACUACGUGAUAAUCUUAAUUAAUUAAAAUUUGUACUAAUACUAAACGUUUUGUGUUCGUGUGAAUGGAAGUUUACUGUAAUAAAUGUUGGGGUGGAGAUUUGAAUCUGAGACCUCUUGUCUACAUGAACAUACAGGUGUCUGUUGAGCUAAGCUCAUGUUGGCAAGUCUAUCAUACUUUAAUGUGAAAGUUGAUAUCGAAAUAAUAGUUUAGUUUUGCGGUUAAGUAUGGUGAAGAUUUUAUUUUAGCGAUUACAUGUUUUUCUUUUUUAAAUUUGGUGUUGAUUUCAAAUAUUUCUUUAAACAAUUUUUUUGUGUGAUGUUUUUUCUCUCUUUGUUUUAAGAAAAAAAUUGGAUUUUAAAUAAAAAAAUUUAAAAACUAGAAAAGUUUUUUAGAAUCUAUUUUCUUUAGUUUCGAACAAACAAAAAGUUGACUUUCUUUUUGAAAUUUAACUAAAAAUUUAUUUAUUUAUUGUUCAAAACAAACCAUAUAACAAAAUAUACAGGGAGUGUAAUUUCAUAAAUUUUAAAAGUAAAAAACGAAAAAUAAAAUCGUUAACAAAUGAGGUUUUAGUUAUCUAUUCACUUCCUGUAAUACAUUAAAUUGUCAUUUUAAUCAGUCUAGUAAUUCAUUUACUUAUCAAUUGAGUAUUAAAAGUAGUAUAAUUGAUAGGGGUAUCUAUGUGUUAGAGGACACGAGUAGAUAGACAAAUCUAGACUUGAUAAUAUUAUCUCACACGACACACGUGUUGUCGUCCGUUCGAGUAGGGUGAGGUGAGGUAAGGAAUAAAAUAAUAAUAUUAUGUUUUUUAAUUAAAUAUUUAUUUAUUAAAUGAUGAAAUGGUUUUUUGUUUAACAAAUUUUUCUUAUCUAAUUUUAUUAUUGUUAAGACAUUUUUCACUAUUGAACCAUUACAUUUCUAACUGUUGAACCAUUUCUAUUCUUUUAUUUGAACCAACCCAUAUGAAAGGGCUCCUCCACUAUUCAUUCAUUUUGAGUAUGCAAAAAAAUACUUAUACAUUCCAAUUUAUUCUUUCCGUCCACCAUCUUUGUUUCAAAUAAACUUUUAUUCUGUUUUUCGAGCACAAUAAAAAGGUGUAUUAACAUUCGAUCGGGUUCCAACGCAUAUUUGAUCGAGACAAAUAAUAUAUGGAUUGUUUUAUCCUGGGGAUAUCGUAUCAAUUUUCAAACUGCUUACACACGAGACAAAGUAUCGAAGCUUCUUAAAGAGAGUGUGAUUCACAACUUAACCUUCUUUUAGGGCCUUUGUUUUGCAAAUUCUCCUUGAAGCUACUAGUUUAAUUCUACUUUUCAUUCUCGUGGAUGUACAGGAGUUGCUGAAUUUUGCCGUUAUAUUAUAUAUUCAAUUUGGGUAUGAAUGUAGUUGUUGUAACAUAUUGUCAUAGGGUAUUAAAAUGAAUCUAAUAAUGGGAAUAAUGGAUGUGAAGAGUAAACUAGAUUGAAUAAAGUAAGUCGUAAAUAGGUGUCUUAAUGAGAUGAAAUCCACCCAUAUUGAGUUGUAAAUUAGAGAUAUAAAAGCUUAAACACUUUAUUCAACCUAACUCAUGAUAACUUAUUCCAUUCCCAAUGACAAGUUAUAAAUAGAAAUUGGACUAAUAACAAAAUGUUGUUGCACUUAAUAACACCUACGACACCAUAGAAAAAAAAACCCCUUUUUUCCUUAAAGAUAAUACAUAAUAUCUAAAAGUUGCACACCAAUUUCUUCAUUAUAUUAAUUCAUCUAAACAUCGGAAAACGUCAAACUACCUUUCAUUAAUGAACCAUAAUGUAUCUAUCGUUUUUGAAUAUUUGUUUCCUCUAAAUUGACUUUUUAAAAAAACGUUUGGAGCAUAGAGUGAGUUAUUAUAAUACGUGGUUAUUAUGGUCUGUGUUUGGAGAGUGAGAAAUAGUGACAUAUGAGAAAUAAGAAAAAAAAUAGAAUAGUCAUAAUUUUAAUCCUAGAAUUAUGAUUACCACUUGAGUAAACAUGAAAAACGUCCACUCCACUUCUUUGGGGUCAAACGUCCCCUUAAAAUGUAUAUAAUUUUCUAUCUUUUACUACAUUAGGUAAAAUAAGACUCAAUUUGAUAUAUUUUUUUCAAAUUAAGCUUAUAAAUACUAUUUUAACUUUUAUUUUUUUUAUUCUUUGAACGUUUUAAAAAAUUAAGUUAGGGUUUAAAGUGUAUAUAUAAUAUUAAUUUUUUUUCAUUUAACUAAUAAAAAACUAUACUUUCAAAAUUUUGUACCAAACAACAAAUUUUAAAAGAAAAUUUGUGUUGAAAUGAGUUUAAAAGUUGUCAAAAAUAGAAAAAUUGAUAAAUUACUGUAAAAAAAAGUUUAAGUAUAAUAAAUUAUUUUUUAGUGAUUUUUUUCGUGUAAUAAGUUUUAUGUUUUUUUAUUAUUUUUUGAACGAUUAUUCAAAAAAAUAAUAUAUAUAUAUAUAUAUAUUGAGAAUUUUUUGUAAUUAUUAAAGUUUUUAAAGUAAAAGAGUUAUCCUUUUAACCCAAAUAUUUUGAGAAUUUUUUGUAAUUAUUCAUCGAUGUCGAAUAAAAUUAAUUUUCUCUUUCACGAAUUGUUUAAAUACUUUUAAAUUUUCCUUAAAAAAUAAAAAUAUGCAAAAUAAUAAGUAUGGCAAUAUUUUUAUAAUUAAAAUGUAUAUAAUACUUUUAAAACCUUAAUAUGAAUACUAUUCAUGUCUCUUAUUUUGUUGUUUCAUUUUUCUAGUUUUAGGAAAUUAAACUUUUAACCUCUUAAAAAGAAAAGAAAAGAAAAGAAAACCUAUUUUCUUUUCCAUUCAACUAUUUUUGAUAUCUACUAAACACUUGAAUUAUUAAGGAAUUAAUGAAAAAUAUUGUUUUGACAAAACAGUAAACACUUUUGGAAUUGUAUGCAACGAUAAGGCUGCUUCAUUGACAUGAUAUAAUAUCUGAAUGCACCAACACACUUGGGAAAAUAAUAUAUACUUUAUUCAUAAAAAAUAAAAUAGAUAACCAAAUCUUUUUAACUUUUUACUUUUCAUAUUUUUAAUUUUAGUGAUUCACAGGUCAAUAUGCCAUUAAGUACACUUUUCAAAUGCUAAUUAACCCAUUAAUUAAUUAGUAAACUAAAACACAACUAGUGCUACUUCUUUUAUUAUUUCCCUCUUAUUUUAAUUUACCACUCCCACUUCACUCAAUCCAAACAAAUUAUGCAUAACCAAUUUUCUUUUCCUCUCUUUCCUAACUACAUUUUUAAAUUUAUCAUAUUUUAUAAAUACUUUUAAUCGUUCUUCUUUUUCUUUUUCUAAUUUGUUUUAAAAUAAAAUAUUCACAUAUCAUAUCUACAUUUGAAAACAUAUAACUCAUUGACAAUUAGUUAUUUUUUUAAAAAAUUUAUUAGUUCACAAAGUAAGUGAUAAGUGUGACAAUUCAUUAAUUAAUACCAAAAAAAAUAAUGCAAAAUACUUUAAGAUUACCUAAAUAAUCCAAUUAGUUUUGAUUUUUUUUUAUAUAGAGAUCAACUAUCAUCUUUAAUUAGUUCUCCUUAAUCAAUUAUUAUUGUUGUUGAUUUAAUCGACUUUAUUUUUGUUGGUCGAGAUGCUCACUACCCCUACUUGUAUCAUUGCAAAUGUUAUUUGUUUUUAUUUAUUAAGGUGGUAAAGUGCAUGCCUCCCCCAUCUAAUUAAUAAGUAUAACAACUAGUUGUUAAAAAAAAAAAUACAUAAACAAAUUUAUUUUGUGAUAUUUUCAUGCAAUUCUAGUACUAAAAAAUAAUUAACCAAUAAACAAUCAUAUAGUGCUUUUUUUCUUUUUUCUAUUUUAAUAACCACGCGUCCGACUUAGUAGGAACAUUAUUCUUCCAUCACUAAACCAAUUAGCAAUAAAAAGAUCUAUCUUAUAAAGAGUGUAUGAUCUUUUGAUUUUUUGAAUGUGAAUUUGUCAUAAUUUGUUCUCAAGAUGUUGUUAGUUUGAGUUUUAUGAGUCAAAUUUUGUAUUAUUCAAUUAGUUUUGAGGUGUUGUUUAUGAAAACCCAAAAAGAAGGAAAGAGUGAGGCACAGAAUGUUUAGGCAACGAAUUAGAAGAAAAAAAGAUGCGGAUAUUCCAUGAAUAUUUGGAAAUAUAAUAAUAUUAAAUUAAAAAAGAGAUGAAAAGAAAAGAAAAGAAAUUCCACUUUAUGGUUCCAUUGGAGGAACUGAACUGGUUGUACGGAAGAGAAAUGUGGAAGUUGCGAAGAGACGUCCCAAUUCCCAAUUCCCAAUUCCCACGUUCGUAUAAUUAAAUAUCGUUUCCUUAUUGUUUCCCAUGUCAUUAUGCACCACAUAGAUAUUAGAUACCCUCUAAUAUAUAUAUAUAUUUCUUUUCUUUACUAUAAAACUAUCCAUUAACUUCUUUAAUUUCUAGGUUACAUGCUUCUAAGUUUUAUAACAUUUCCCUUGCCGUCCUAACAAUUAUUAUAAUCUUUUCUUUUUCUAAAAAAAAUAUUCAAAUAUAUUAUCAUGUGAGAAUGUUAUUUGCUAGUAACUUUGGACGGAUGAAAAGUGUUCUUACUCUUUUAAUCAAGUUACUACUAAACGAGAGAACAAGACGAUUAUUUUAAUCUACAAACACUACUAAGAAUAAUCAAUAAUAAAUAAUUAAUUCUUCUAGAGUCAUAAUUAAAUGGAGUUUUUUUUAUAAAGAAAAAAUAAAAAAUUGACAAACCAUUUACCUUUCGGCUAAUAUUUUGGGAGAAUGUUCUAAUUUUGACCAUUUACCCUGAUAAAAUCCAAUUUGAAAUGAAAUUACCCAUUACAUUCUAGAAAGUUUUAUAUAAUUUAAUUUACCAUGUAAAUAGUAAAUAAUUUAAAUGUUUUUACAUACUCUUCGGUGCAUUUUUGUACUAGAAAAUGUAUAAAUUAAUAUCAUAAGUUUGAUAAAUGUUUGUUUUAAAGAAAAAAAAAAAAGAGUGUUUCCCAAAGAGAAGAGAUUAAGACAAUAAUUUUGUGGGACUUGGGAGUGUAUUCGGUGGCCACAAAAAUGUUAAUGGGAAUGGUACGGACACCAAACCCUUACUUUGUUCUUUCAGAAAUUUUAAUUUUGUUUUACAUUAACUUUAAUCCUUCUUAUAAAAAUAAUUAUUCUUAGUAGAAUAAUACUUCAGAUUCCGUACAACAAAAUCAAUUAGGUAUGAAUUGAUUUUUUUAGUAUAAAAUCGAAAUCAUAGUUUGUAUUUUGAAAAAUAAAAGUAUUAGCUUUGGUCGAUUUUUUUAUAUAAAAAUCAAUCAAAAUUUAACGUAACCGAAACUUAUAUGUAUCCUUAAAAAUAGAUAUAUGUAUGCAUAUAUUUAGUACAUUCUUAAUGGUUGCAAGUACAUUUGUUGUUUAGAAAAAGAAUAAAGAAUAACUCUUCUCAAAACAUGCAUGCUUAAGUGAAGAAAAAUAAACAAAAAUGUCCAAUUUAAUAUAUAAAGAAAGAAAUUGACCCAAUUUUUAUUUAAAAAUAGAAAGAAAAAAAAAACCCACUUCCAAACAAAAUUGAAAGAAAAAUAAAAUGCAAAAAAAAAAGAAAGAAAGAAAACCAAGAACAAGAAUCCAUUAUUAUUAUUGUUUUUUACUAGACAUUGAUUUGAUUUGGUUAUUGGUUGUCUCCAAAACCAACAAACUACUUUUUAUCUUUAGUUGGAUUAGCUAUGAUACACUUAUGUUCGUGCAUUUCUUUUAACUAUAUACAAAUCGUAAACAAAAUAUUAACUUUUUUUAAUGAAAAAAUUCACUACGUAAUAACCUUAACUUAGUUUUAAUUAAACAUUUGAAUGAAGUAAGUAAUUUUUGUUUUGUUAAUCCUCCGUAUAUAUGCGUUAAUUUAAUUCUCUAUAAAGUUAUUAAUAAGGGGUAGGGUACUACUCUAAUUGUGACAAUCUCCUACCUAUAUUUGGUCCCAAUGGGUGCUUCUUUUUGGAGAAAUUAAAGUGUUGUUUGGAGUAGUGAAAUAUAUUAGUGUGUAAUGGGAUUAGAUAUAAAGUACUUUAAAUUGGGAACUCAUAUUUCAAUUCUUCAAAGACCUUCUUGAUUCCCAGAGAGACUACUUUAGACACUAUUUCUAUCAAUCCAUCUAUCAAUCUAUCUACACUUACAAUCGUGAAAGAGUAUGGGAACGCAUUAAUAUUACAUCUUUUUUCUUUCAAGGAAGAGUGGAUGAUCUCUAAAGUUUUCAAAUAAUUUUAAACCACAUCUCACACCAACACCGAAAGUUGUAAACUUCUAAAACAUACAGCGUAAGUAGUGACAGAUCCAAAAGUUUUGUUGACGAUAACUUUAUAUAAAGAAAUAAAAAACUAAAAAGAGUUAAACUUAAACAUAGGUCUAGAGAGACUAGAAAACAAAUUUAUAUUAUACUAGCUAAGGAGCUUUGAUAUUAUGAUAAUUUGUAAUAUAUAUAUAUAUAGUUCAUCACCUCCUACUCUUUCUAACUCCUUGAGCCAAAAAAAAAUCGAAUAUAAUGUCGCUAUUGAAUUGAAAAAAAAAUCUCAUUGCUACCUCAAAUCUUAUUUUAUAGUAUACAAAUUGAAAAAGAAAAAAACUACGAAACAAUAUUAUCGCAACAAAAUCAAGCUGAACUUUAUUAGAAUACACGUUAAAAUUGGCUUACUCUGCAAGGUUCUCACUUUCUCUUAUCCAUUACAUUUGAAUUUGUUAGUAUUAAAUAUUAGAGAAAAUAUCAACAAAUUCAUUCUCAUAUUUUAAACGACGUUCAUUUAAACCUAGUUUGAAAAAUAUCAAACAAAAUAUAUAGUCUUGAAUUAAACUUCUACGUUACUAUAAAUUUAUACCAUAUCAUUAAUUUGAGAUUUAAAUAAUUAUACAACUCUAAAAUAUAUUGAUAUAAAUUUGUAUAUUAAUAGUAUAUAGGUAUGUUUCAACCAUCUAAUAAUCACUUUCAUCUUGAUUGAGUUGUGGUGCAAUUAUUUCUUCUAUUGAGAUAAAUGUUGGAAUAUAUAUACAUAUUGGAAAAUAAUAAUCACUUUCGAGUACCCAAAAUUAUCUCUAACUUCUAAAAAUUAAGUUUAUAUUGACUUAGUAAAUUAGACUUACUUUUACUUUUGAUUUCUUUUUAAAUUCAAAGUGUCUCAAACUAGUAUAGUACAUAGUUUAAACUAAAUUAGUGUCAUGAUAAAAUCCAAAAUUACGUAGAGAAAGAAGUGAUAUUUAAUACAUUUUUAUCAACUCGAUUAUACGUUGGGAUGGACAAUGAAAUGAAGACUAAACUUGGGAGGGAUAAAAGGGUUGGGGUGUAUUUCUAUCCCAUGUUUGAUAUCUAUUUACUUAAUGGUAAAUUGAAUUUCAUCUACUUUAUGCAUUUAGACGAGUGUCCAUUUAAAAUGGCACUCAAGCAAUAAUAUUAUCUUUACUUUUGUUCAUAUCCUUUGCCUUAAAAGAUUACGCAAUAUAUAUGAUAUUGAACUAAUUGCUUGAUUGCAUGUUUAAUCUUUCUAGAUUUUUGUGGGUAGUUGGGCUUGCUAAUUGCUAUACUAAAGUUCUAGUCAAAUACAACAAUAAUAAUAUCAUUGAAAUUCAACACAAGCAACUUCAAUUAACUUUUAAUUCGAAAACAAGCACGCCACUUAGUCUUCCCUUCUGAUUUUGACACAUUUCUAGACUUAGUAGUUAAACGUGUACUAAUACUUACAUCACUAUAAUGCUUAACAUAAUGGUAGCAUUUGAGUUUAUGAGAGAUUAAUCGAGAAUGCAUCCAAACGAGAGAGACAACCAUAAGAUAUAACAACUAGUUAUACCUGAAAUGUGUAUUUUUCUUUUUAAUGCUCAUUUAUAAGAAUUUCAAAAUUACGAUUGUUGUUAUAAUGACACUCUUACUUUUUUUUAAUUUCAUAAAUUACUUUUUUAUAUAUCUAAAGUUUUACUAUUAAACUUUUUAGAAAAUUCCAAUUUAUACAUUUAAAUUUUGAAUUUUGUAUCCAUUUAAACGAUUUAAACUAAUAAUUAUUGUAACAAAAAAUUAUUUUUGUCCGAAAAAAUAAUAAUUGUAAUGUACAAUCAAAUCCUCAAUUUGUUUUAUUUAAAAAGACAAAUCCCCACAAUUAAAGAAUGGUUACAAAAUUAUUAAAAACUUUCACAACUUUAUGAGAAAACAUACUGACCAUUCAAAAACAAUUGGUUUAACAUUACAAUCGCAGUGGCGUCCAAUUUUCGCCCCAUAAAUGAAGCUUUUAGAAAAUUAUACCAAUAAAAUGGUGACACCCUCCAACUUUAUAACUCUCUCUUCUCCUUUUCAAUUUUGCUCCAUACCCAUUUAAGAUUUUUUUAAAAUUAUUUCAAAUCACAAAAUUACUAAAAAUAUUUAUAAAUAUCAAAGAUAAACGAUGAUAGAUAGAUUUAUUUUAAUAAUAUAAUUAUCCAAAUCUAGUUCAUCAUUGUAAUUGGUUAAACAAUAAUAAUAAUUUAUUUCAAAAGAAUGUUGCUUACAACAAUGAUGUAUCAAAUACACAAAAAUCUCAAAGUCUAUUACGACAUCAUUGUCAAUAGUAGCAUCCAAAUAUGGAUGUAUAAAGAGAAAGAAUCCUUUCUAAUAACACUGGAGAAUAGAAGAAUGGUGGUUGCGUUGAAGUUUGAAGCUAUGAAAGCUAAGGAAGAUUGGAAUGGAGGGUAUGGUUAUUUUGUAUAAGGUAAGAUAGAGAGUUAAUAAGCAUGAAGAUGACAGAGAGAAAAGGCCCACUUCUGGCUGUGAACAGCCUAAUGUGUUUGUUGGUUGGGGCAAGUGGGGAACUCAUAACAGAUUUCCAAUUCCCUCUUAAAUUGACCUUUUUUAUUUCUCUAUCUCUUAAGUAAUUAAACUGUGUUUUCUCAAAGAUUGAUUUUAAAUGUGACUUUCUCAUGGUAGCUCCUCUGUUGCUGUUCGUUAGUUCGUGUUGAUAGAAAAUGUGUCCCCUUUUCUCACCUCAAUUUUUCUCCUUUUCACACUUACACUUCUUUGUUUUUCUAACCUCGUGUUUGAAUCUCCCUACCAUUUUUCUCUGCUUUUAGUACCAUUAUUCACUCUACUUUUACUUUUCACUAUCGAAGUUUGAACAAUACACGAUGUUAACUAGGCGAGGGGAGAAGGGUUUGGCCACCCGAGUGGAAUUAAUAAGUUUAUGUUGGAGUUGUUAAGUUUGUGUUUGAGUACAGAAUUGUAAGUUGGAGUUUUUCAAUAAAUAUAAAACAUAGAUUAAGAUAAGAAAUUUUGAAGUUUUAGAUAAAAGGUAGAAAAUAGAGAUCAAUGAUAUGAUUGUGUUUCUUGUUAAAGGUGAAAAGUACAAGAAAAAGAGAAAGAAAAAUGACGGAUGUGUUUGGUAAAGAAUACGAAAAACAAAAGUUUGAAGAUAAUGAAUCUAAUGAAAUGUUAAAAAAAGUUGAUUUUAGUUAAAGAAAUGUUUAGAUGGGUUUUGUAUUAGAUAUUUAUAAACCAUAAAAUUAGUUUUACUUUUCCAAUAAGAUUUAGUGGACAUUAAGUUAAUAUUAUUUUAUUCAUGAAUGUAAUCUAUGUUUAAAAAAUUAAUUAAAUUGUAAUUUUAGUUCUUAUUGUUAAGAGAAAAUUGAAGUUUAGUCUAUAGUUUGAUAAAACCUCAUAUUCUUAUUAUUUGACAGCUUUGUUCCUAAAUAGUCUAUAUGAAUAAACUAUUUUCUACCAUUAUAUCAAAUCAAAAAUACUAAAUUCUACUUUCUUGUUUUUUAAUCUUUGGGAACUAAAUUUGUAAUUUAAACUAAAAAUUUAUUUAAUUAUUAUUUUAUACUAUUGUAUAAUUUAAAUACAUUAAGUAUUUUUUAAAAAUGAAUUGAGUUUAUAACAUGAAACAUGUAUUUCUAAAUUUCUUUUAUAUGUUUUUAAUAUAAUUUUGUUUUUCAAAGUGUAAAAUUCAAAUUUUGGAUACAACCAAAACAUCAAAAAAAGUUUUUUUUCAUAAUUUGCAAUGUUUGGAUUACAUAAUCCAAAAAACAGUUUUCAAAAACAUAAUUUGGAUUGUUCAUCAAACGCCUAAAUUUAAUGAAUCUGAAAAUAUAAAACAAAAAUAUGAUUUUCUACCAAACAGACCCAAAGUUAUUCAAUGUGCAACCUUAAUAGUGUUUACUAUUGAAGUUGAGUUAUUUACACCAAUUUAAGAAGUCGGUGGACCAAACGGGCAAAGAUGUUUGACCCACUAACUUCAUACUUCAAUCUUUAAUAACAAAACUUCAGUGCACUUUUACCGAUCUCUCUCUCUGCCACUAUUAUUUUUUAAAGACUUCAAAACUCAACUUAACACUCCAAUCAAUUUCUUAAUCAAAAGAUUGAAACGCUCGUUCGUAAAAAUAUAAGGAUUGAAAUAACAGGGACAAAAAUGAACAAAAGUUUAAAAUAUGAACCAACUCAUUCGUAAAAAUAUAAGGAUUGAAAUAACAAGGACAAGAACGAACAAAAGUUUAAAAUAGGAACCUUUUGAAAGUUAGAAAAUAUCUAGAAUUGAAGCAAAAAGUAUUUGAACAUUUUUCAAACCAGAAUUAAUUCCCUUCCUUGAGAAGGAAGUCUUUUGCCGUUUUUGUUUAGAUGGAGACAAAGUUGAAAAGAAGAGCCUUAUACUGUAUAGACUUGAAAGUUAUUAAAAUGAAGUUGUAUAUUUAGGCAGAUGGGCCAAAUUUACUGUGUCAUUUUCAUUAUUAUUGGACAUGUGAAACUAAACUAAACUACUUUGGGCUUCUCUCCAUUCUAACCUAACACCAAGGGAAACUUCUUCUUUCCUACAAGCUGUUCUUGCAACUUAAGAAGGAAGUCUUUCCGUCUUCUGUUUUUACAGUCCAGAAUAAGGUCCUAUACAUAUUAAUAAAACAACAUACGUUCUCAACUUUAGACACAUGACCUAAAAAAAUUAAGAUAUAAACAGUGAGUACAGUUUUGACAUGAAAAAACUAAAUUCAAGACUAAGUUUUCAAGAAAUGAUGUUUUGAUUGUUGGGGAAGAAUGAAAUUUCUUAUUAUUAUACAAAGACAAGAAAGAAUAAAGCACUUCCAAAAGAUCCUAUGAUUAUGAAUGAUCUACUUUUGAGCUAUGACAAAGAAUGCUCCUUCGGUACCCACACAAGUUAUCCCUAAUAACUACUUUCUUUUCUGAUGUCUAUUUGGGAAUACUGUUUUUCACAAAACAAACUUUGAAAAAACAUUCUUUUUCCUCCAAAUCAUUGCAUCACCUCCAAAGGAGGAUUACAUUCAAAUGUACAUUCAAAAGGGCUGGCUGUUGUUUCUUCUUCAUCUUUGUUUUGUUCUUUUUAGUGUUGGUAUCCUUUGUCAAAGUCAGCUGACGCCAGGUUGCAACAAUGGGAAGAAGGUCCAGUUGUUACCUGGACUAGCUUCCUUCACACCCACUUUCUCAUUGGCCCACCAUUCUGCACCGAUGGAGGCUGUGUUGUGUAUUUCUCCUUUAGUUUGGUCAAAGUUGAACUCUUUGAAUGAACCAAGAGUUACAGCUCGCUGAUUUUGGUAGCAUUGAUCAUCCUCUCCUGGAGUUUUUUCUGGUGCUGCGGAAGUCUUGAUGUCAAAGAACUCGCAAGUUUCAGCUUCUCUGGAUGAUUCUUUGUUUUCGUUUUGAUUGCUUGUGCUUGUUUGCUUCGGAGACUCAGAUUCAGUUCUAAUGGAUGUCAAUGACUUAUUUGCAAGACAGCGUGCAACAUCUUCACCAGUUAACUCAAAUGACACCCUAUGAUUUGUCACAUCAUUUUGGCAUCCAGUUUCUGAGUUGGCAAGAGAAGCCACCUCAGAUAUUUGGUUGUCCAACAAUGGACUAUCUUGCAAGCCAUGGCCCAGACCAUCAGGCGUCAAGGUUCCAGAACCCAAUCUUGAAUCUUGCCUCAUACCAUUUGGGGUAACAGAUCCAGAUCCCAAUCUAGAACCCAUUCCCAUACCAUCAGGAGUCAAAGUUCCUGAACCUAACCUAGAACAUAAACCGGUACCAUCUGGAGUCAAAGAUCCAGAACCCAUUCUUGAGAUCCAUUUGCGAGUUGUAAAAUGUUCAAGACCCAAGAGCUUCGGUGCAUCUGCCAUGCGGAACUCAAGAAUGGGGUGUUUAUCAGGAAAAGGAGAAGAUGUACCAGAGUUUGAAAUUACUGAUCCAGGUGAUAUAAGAUGAGCACCAGGGCUUCCUGGGUAGGGUUGAUAAGGCUGGAAAUCACAGUGUGAUAGCGUGAACUUUUGGUUAGUCCCAAAACUUUUAUUAGUAUGGCUUAGAGAAGAUGUCAGCAAUUUAGCAAAUGGAACUUCAGGAGAUGAGGGUGUAGUCAGUUGAACAGACUCAGGAGGAGGAGUAAUAGGAGCGGUUGAUGGUUCAGUGGUGAAGGCAGAAAAAACUGGAGGUGAGACCAACUGAGUGUCAUAUGUAUAAGGGCCUAUUGCAAAAAUGGAAGCAGGUCCAUUUGGGGAGUAGUUAUUGACUGAAAGAGCAGUUAAGGAUAGUAAUCCAGCAGGAGAUUGAGUAUUUGAUGUAGGUUCGGACUGGAGGAAAGAUGCAGGAGAAGAUGGAGGGGCAAUGAAAGGUAAUACCAUGGUGGUUGAAGGUGUUCGAUGCUCAACAGCAGGGGCAACGGCUCCUGGUACUGCAGGUUCAGGAACUAGUACAGCAUGACCUAUACGUUUAUUGCUUUUCUGUGAACCAAUGCCAAAGCACCAGUACAGACUCCAGCAGCUACCCCAUCUUCGUUUCUGUAGUUAAGACAACAAGAAAAUGUAAAUGAAAAGAUCAACAGGAAACAGAACAGAGACUUCAAUCUAGCUAAAACAGAAUCAUUAUUCAAGCCAUCAGAGCAGUACUAAUAACAACUAUUCAGAAGUCUAAGAACUUCAGCAGGUAAAACCUCCGGUAAGAAGCUCAUAAUCAUCGACUAUGUCGUGUUAACAACAAAACAUUACGUUACUUCCUCACCUCUCAUGUCAGGCAAUAGAGAAUAGACAGAACGGAAGAGAGUGGGAACAGAAAACCCUUCUUCAUCAAUUCAAAAUCCAAACUUUUAAUGUUUCUUGGCUAAAUUGGUUAGUAAACAAUUCAUGUUGUGUUCAUAUGCUAAAAAAAACCAAACGGUUUCAGAAAUUUUUGCAUAAAGCGGUAAACAGAGUUGAAAGUUUUACAAGUGAAAGCUAACUACCGUACGGCAUCUCAGUUUUGAGCCACCCGUUGAGGUCGAUGAUCGAUCUAUUUAAAGAGGUCGUAAGAUUAAGACUAAAGAUUUUGGCAGUCAAUUGCUCUGUGAUAAGAGCGUAUGAUAGCUCAAGCGGAACACCUUCAGGAGCAUAGAAUCUUCCUCUAAAGAGACGCAAAUUUUUGUCUGUCCCCAUCAAAGGAAUCCUCAACCCAGACCAAACUCAACCUUAAGAGAAGAAAACUAAAGCCCAAAAGAGCCGAAUAAAUUGACACACUGUACAGCGCUACAAGAUCCAUUAUCAAAAACAACUAAUUCAACAAAUCUGAUGACAAGUCCAUAAGAUCGCUAACUAAAUUGAUUCAAGUCCCACUGUAUGAGAAAUCUUACACCGAAUGAAUCCAAGUUCCGAAGGAAGUUAUUGCACAGAAUCGAGCAAAUCGCACUUGUAAUUAAUUACCGAACAACCUUAUGUUCCCCUUCCUUUCUGUUCUAAAAGCAGAUUAAUCGAAACUUUUCAAGUUGCUUUAUCUUCAACCGUUUACCAGCUAGACUAAUUAAGCAACAACUUUUUGUGAAAUUAAGAUUCAACGUCUUCACAAAAGCGCAACACCAAAAAAAAAAAAAAAAAAAAAACACCACCAACCGAAGCAGAAAGUACCAAAUCAAAGCCUUAGAAUCAAGAAACAAAAACGCGUAACCAACACGGUUUUCUCAAAUUAAAAAUUAAAAAAAAAAAUCGUUUAGAUCAUCAACCUUGAUGAGAUUUUCCUCAUCUAAACUGAAAACAGCAAACCAACACCGAGAUCAAAAACUCCAUUUCUCAAUCAAAUUACCGCACUUUUUUCUCAGUUCCAAAUAAAAAUCAAACCAGAAAACAAAUAAAGAAAAAAAAAUAAACGUACCGGAGGUGUGGUAGGCUGAACUCGAGCCUCAGCAGAAACGAUGGCAGUAGCGGCAGCAUUAACCGUAUCGACGCUGUUGUUGAUACUUGCCAUCCCCAGUUUCUUCGAAUCCAGAGAGCUCGGCCGGCGGAGUUCUUAACAAGGUCGCCGUGAUUUGGGAUCAAUCGAGGGCGGUAAGUGGCCGGGAAAAUCAAUUAGUAUGGAGUGAGAUUUGACAGGCAAAAGAAGGAAGAGAGAAGACUUUUGGAUUUGAUCUAAGAAAUGAAAAACUCAGACGAAGAAAGAGAGAGAUUGAAUUUUCUCAUUUUAUAUAUUUCCAAAUAAAUAAACAAAAUGAAAUUAUAAAUUAGGAAAUGUAAUAAAAAUGAAGAGAAAAAAGAAAAGAAAAAAAAAGAAAAAAAAGAAAGUCUUGUUGGUUGGUUGGCUCCUCUAAGGACUUAUCCUGUGGUUUUCCAAAAAAAAUUAGCACAUUUUUAUCAAAUUUUGAUAGGAUAAACUUAUUGGGACCCACUUUAAUAUUCAUAAAUCAUAAUUUUUAAUAUUAAUAGUAAUGUCCAUGAUAACUCUAUAAUUGCUAUUCUUUUCAUUAACCUAAAACUAAAUAAAUAAAUAAAACUUUGCCAAAUCUAUAUUCCUCUAAUAUAAUUAUAUACAUAUAUGCGUGUGUGUGUGUUAUUUCUUUGAGAAAAACGUGAAAAAUGGUAGAAUUAUUCAAAUAUAUUUACACCUAAUGGUAAUAGUUUUUUACCAAACAAAUUCUUUUAACGAUUUUAAGUUAUUUACUAAUUCAAAUUAUUUCAUUGUAGUUUUGGAGACUUACCAUAAAAUUAUAUAUGUUUUGAAAUUAGUUAGAUCUUAAAAACCUUCAAGUUUGACAAGGACAUCACUUCAAAAAAAAUUACAUGGAGGCAAAAGUUGGUAUUUGUUUAAAAGAAAUAAAAAUUAUAAAUUGUUUUCUUUUUUCUAGACAAAGCAACUCAAAAAUAGCUAAUUGAAAAACUAAUCUCACCUCCUUAUUGAAGACAAGAAAGAAAAUACAAAUAGAAAGACUAUCUUUUUGUAAAAACGAACAACUCCAAGAGAAUGUCAAGGCUACUAUCGUUUUAAGGAUGUAAUAAAAAUUGAAGUUUUAACAAAGUUGGGUAGAAAAAGAAUACUCUCGAACAAAAAUCGGUAAGAAGUUAGGUUAUACAAGCUAGCAUGCAAAAUACCUUUUGUGUUUUCAAAUUAGGGUUGAGUUUUAAUGCAACUAGUCAUCACUUACUUCAUUCUUCAUCUUUGUUUCCAUAUCCUACUCUUCACCGUAGACAUGUGUGGAAAGCAAGAAAAAUGAGAUAUGGAAACAACAAGGAAUUAUUCCAAUUGCAAGUAAAUUUAUGAACUAAAAUACUAUUUUUCUAAAUUUUAGUCAAUAUAUGUUGAUAAUUUUUAUCAAAAUUAGCUAGAAAAUAAAAUACUUUCAUGCAAUAAAAGUAAAUAUAUGAUAGAGUAAAAUACUAAUAACUAAAAACAAAAUUAAGAAUCAAUUAAUGAACAUUUCAAAAUAACAAAGGACAAAAAUGAAAAUAUUAACUCCAAAUAUUUGGAUUUUUUUUUUUAUAAAAAAACCCCUUGAACUAAGUACGGAAUUAGAAAUGAUUUGAGAAUGAGGGUGGGUUUUGCAAUUUUAGAAAAUAUAAAGUUUGUUAGUGAUAUUUCAAUGUACCCAUAAUUUCCGAUAGUGUUGUCGAAAAAAAAAAGGAAAGAAUUGUUUUCAAAUUGAUAUAAUUAAUUUAUAUCACACCCUCACAUCAUUAUUUGUUGACCCACAUUAUAAAUUUUUAUUCCUUUUUAUCCGUAUAAGUAUUUUUUUAAUUUGAAAACAUUCAUAAAAAUUUAUAAAAAGAAAAAAUAAAUAAGAAAAUAGAAUUUAUAAGUAAAAAAAGAAAAAGAAUUGAAUAUUAGAAAAUGUAGUUGGAAAUUAGAGAAGUAGAAGUGGGGUUGAGUAUAGAAGAAAUUACAGAAAGUGCCACUGAGGAAGGAAUAAGUGCAAAAGGGGUUGGCUUUAAAUGCGUGUCCCCAACAAUAAAAUGAAGUGCGUGAGAAACUCGUGAGUUCCUUGUGCUUUCAUUUAUGCUAUUUGUACUCCCCGGCACGUGACCCAUGUGACUCUCAUUCUGUGGGCCAUCCCAUCUCCCCCCAUCUAAUUUAAUGCUUCUCAUCUAACUAAUCAUACCCUCUUCAAAUCCUACCAUCUUUUUGGCUACAACACCAUACUUAACACUAACUAUGACUCAUCAUCCCUUCAUCCUAGUUGAUUUUUCGAUUAAAUUACUACUAAAUUGAUUAUAGUAGGUUUAGUAGCGUUUAAAUUGACCUCGGUCAUCAAUGAAUAAAUGUCAUUCGGUUUAAUAGUAAAAAAAACUAAAAAAAAAAUCUCAAUUUCAAACUUUUUCAAAUCUAUAUCGACUGAUCCAUCUCAUUCUUCAACAAAUCGACUUUGGUUUGGUCUAUUGACUUGAUAUUUUUUUUGUCUAUCAUGCUGACUCGAGCUAAUAGCAUGGUUUUAAAUAUCAAACUUUUGAGAUUUUAUGAAAUUUUGAGGUACAUUUUUUAAAAAAUUAUAAAAACAAAAAUAGUUUUAAAAUAAGCUAUUAUUUAUAUUAGUGUUGUAUUGAUAUUUAUUCUUUGAGUUUGAUAGAUUUUUUUAUGAUGUAAUGAAAAUACAAAUUCAACUUUCAUAUAUAUCGAGAUCGUAUAUAUAAGAGCAUGGAAAUGUCAAUGAAAAUAUUGAUGGAAACUUAAUGACAUAACUUAAUUAUUUGUAGUGAUGAUGAGUAUAAAUUGUAAACUAUAAGCGAGGCGUUAAUUAUAAAUUUAUAAUAAUGCCCUCUAAAUGAAGUAGGUGUGAAACAUGAUUAGCAUAAGAAUAUUAGUUUUAAAAAUGAUGGGAUGCUUUUAUUUGUUCCGUGCUUAGGUUGAUAUUAAUCUAAUUAUUUAAAGAAUGAAAAACAUAAAACAAAUCUAUUAGAAUUUAAGUGUCGUUCAAACCAUUGAGUUGAUUAUUGAAGUUAAUGGUUACAACAGUAAGUAUUUUGUUGGAGUGGGUUGCUUGAAUUUUAGACUACAUUGUUUUUUAGUCUAAAACUUAAUAGUUUGUAUUUUCAUUUUGGAUUCAAACUAGUAUAUAAAAUAGUAAACAUAAAAGGAUAAAAAAAUUAUAAACAUUGUAAUAAAUGUAAAGAUAAAAGGAUAAAAGUAUGAUAAAAUCAAGCAUAUCCAGAACAACGGCGUCUAACUUAGGCUUUCAGGUGAUAGUUGAUCCCUAAGCUUUGUGCAGUGCUUUCUUUUAGAAUAGCAAAUAGGCGGUCCUUUUAAUUGUAUUUCAAUUUAACUUUUUAUUCCAAUGAUUUCUAAUUUCUGGAUUGAUUUCAUUGAUUUUUUUUCUUUAAAAUUUCAAUAACCUUGUUGUCUCUUUAGAAUGUAAGAAAAAAGUUACGCAAUUUGUCUCUUCAUUAAACCAUACAAUAAUGCACAUAGAAUGAUCAACACAGUCAUGAAGCAGCAAUAAGGGGCAGAAAGGCUUGAGCAAGCGGUCAUACUCCAAUCCAAUCAAAAGCUUGUGGGACUUUAGAAGUGAAAUAGGUGGGUAACUUUCCAAAUAUGUUUUUGGGUAGUACAGUUCAUGAUGAAAGAAAAUAAUUUGUUUUAAAAAUAUCAUCAAACCAUGUUGUGUUUCAAAUUCUCAAUUAAUUUUACUUUUAUAAAUUUACAAACUGUUUUACCAACACUCUUACCCUAAAAACUUCAAAAAAAUUCCAUUUCUAACCCAUUAUUUUUUCCAAAAUCAAAAAAAGAAGAAAGAAUUACAAAGAGAUGCAAAAAAAUAAAAUAAAAAGAAUAAUAAUGAUGAUUGAUGAGAGACGAGUAGUGCACGUGAUGGAGUGCAGGAAAGCAAUGGAAUGAGGUGCAAGCCAACGUAAAUAAAAGCAAUUAGAAGGGUAAGUAUGAGUGAAUGAGAUGAAGUCUUUAUAUAAUAUAUAUAUAUAUAUAUAUAAUAAUAACUUUAAUAAGGAAUUAAUUAAUAUAUUAUUAUGAUUUUUUACUUGGAAGCAUAACCCCCUUUUCCUCCCCCCCAAGUAGUGCACGUGUGCACAUCCACUUGCUUUCAUAUUAUGGGUUUUCGGUGUCAACAAAGAAAGUGACUUUUUUCUUUUUUUAUUUAGAUUUCAUUUAUUUUAUUAUUUCCUUUUCUUUUUUUUUUCUCUCUCUUUUUCUUUUCUUUUUUUUUUUUAAUUUUUUCUCUCUCAAAGAUUAAGCUUGCACGAAUGGUUCUCUCAUACCCAUUAUUCUGUUACUUUAUGAUGAUGAUAUCUCAACCUCUUCUUUGGCCUCAUUUACUAAAAGAAAAGAAAAAAAUAAUACCCUUUUCAUUGACACCUAACUUUUUAACAUUUGAGAUGCAAAUAUCACCCCCCUUUUUUUUUCCUCUCCUUUUUUAAUUUUAGCUACUUCACCUUUUUAACCUUUAUUUUUGUGUUUUGGUUAUUCUUGACCUACUUUUUCCUUUCAUCUAAUUUCUCAUUGCCUUUUAUUUUCUCCAACAUUUUCUUCCUCCAGACUUCACAUGUUUCACUUUUUAACAUCAAUAAACACCCCUUAUAUAUGUAGUUUGAAUUUAAGUGCCUAGCUACCUCUAUACCCUUUUUUUUUUGCUCUAGCCUUUUUUUAUAUAUAUAUCAAAUUUAUUGUUGAUCAUCAUAAAGUUUGGAUUGUCCUUUGUCUCAAAAUAUAUUGAUUUUAGAGAUGUUUGGGUUCUCCUGAAUGUGCACGAAAAACAUUUAAGUAUAUUAUCUAGGUUAUUGUUCUUAUUAUGUCUAAGUGAAUUAACUACGAGAAUAGUUUGUCUUAGGAUAUGGGGUGAUUUUGGACUAUGAAAAUUAUCAAACAAGGAAUUCACCUUAGGAUGCAAGAUGUGCAUGAAACAAGAGGCACAACUUAAGGAGUAUGUGAGGCGGUUCGAAGGGAGAUGUCAACUAGCCCUAACGUGAUCCUUGUGCAAGCUAGAUUUAACCUUCUAAAGUUCUAUUUGUAAAUGAAUUGAAGAAACAACACUAGGUUUAACUCCACUGUAUAUAUAGAAUGUGAUAACUUCAUAUUAGUCAAAUUUAAGUUCUUUCCUAAAAAUUUGGUUUGAUUGGUCUUGUGCUAAAAACUAACUUAAACAUUGGAGAGUUUGUGACAUGCCAUAUUAAGAUGUGUUGAGUUUUUUAGGCAAAAUAUUAAAUAUGUAGUUGUUUUAUAUUGGUUAUUUUGGAGAAAUGUGGGUAACUCCAAACCUAUAAAAAGAGCUCACUUUCUUUGUUUGCAAAUGACUCAGUUAGAAACACUUUAAACUUCAGUGUGCUAACUCUAAUUAAAUUUCCUUUGUAUUCUCUAGUUGGAAAGUGGGUAAAAGGUGAGAGUGGCAAAAAAAUUUCAGCGAGUGUUCUUAUAAUUGGGGCUAGGAGAGAGAAAAUCAUUAUUUGUGAUUGUAACAAUUUUUUUAACCGAGUGAAUUUCUUGAUUUUAUGUCCAAGUUGGGAGUUUCCCAAGUAAAUUAAUGUAUUUUCAGUUUUUAUUGCUUUAUUUAAUAUAUUUGUUAUUUAUGUGUAUGCUCCUACUGCAUAAUUGGGAGGUUUUGUCCCAACGGGAUGUUAUCCUAAUUGUCUUUGUAUGUAACAUGAUCUUCUUCGAAAUACAAAUUUAUUGUUAGUAGCAUGUGGAGAUUUGAUGAGUUUCUUUGAUUGUAUUUUGCUAUCAACGCGAAUUAUUUGUGUAAUAACAAAAGUACAACAUGAAAGGUAACUUGGAACUUGUAUUUUACAUAUAGGGACAAAAAAACUGAUCACCUAGUAAUCUUAGUUAAAAGACACAUAUAAGAUAGCUUUCUCAUCUCUAGCUUAUAUAAUCUAUGAAUGAGAUUAUCUUUUAAUUUCUUCCUAACUUGUUUAAUUCUAUAGGAAUUUUAAUUACUUUAUCAAAUGUCUCUUUCAUAAAAGAGUGAUUAUGAAGAUAUAUAUUCUCUAUACAAGAAAAAAGCUUCCAGUAAUCUAUCACAUCAUAAAACACCAUACACCCUUGAAUAGACUAAUUAUACUUCAUUAAGAAAAGCUCUUAUCACAUAAAAGGAAAAUAUAAUAAGAUGGUAAAAAAGAAACAACGUUGAUAGAGACCCACAAAAAUAAAAACUAAACGAGACAACCUAUUACAUUGCAUGAUCGAAGAAUCAUUCAAAAGUAUAUAAAAAUUGAAGAAGAGAUAACGUCAAAAAAUUAAGACGACAUGUGUAGGAAACCUUCCAAGAUCAUAAGCAGUUAACUCAAGAGUCAUCAAUAUGAUAAAUUCUAUGACAGAUAUUGGAUAUCUGCUUUUUUAUUGAAAAGAUUAACAAUUUUCAAACAACGUAUUUGAUAAUACGAAUUCAAAAUUGGUGGGAGGGGCAUAAAAAGUGUAAAAUUGUAAAUUGGGUAGAAACACAGUAGGGUGAUAUUUAAAAAAUGAAAAUGUGCAUAAUAAAGAUAGAGAAAAUGAUGAUGAUGAAUAGGUAUGAAAGUAGAUUGUGGUAAUGAAUGAAAAAGUAGGGAAUAAUUAGUGGUGAUACCUUUAGCCUUUUACCAAUGGCCACACGUGUGACAAGUUAAAUUUUUUUUAUUUAAUUGUAGGCUUAAAAGAGAAAAAAAGAAAGGGCAAUUAACUCUCUUAAAAGGGACCCAGCCAAGAGUGUGGAACAAUUGGAUAUUUCUUUCUUCACAAAAAACUGACCCCUCUUUAUGGGGUGGCUUAGUGUAGUUUUGGACCCACAUUGCAAAAGCUAAACCAGCAUAUCACAUGUUUGAGUUAUCAACUAGGUGGUGGCUGACCUAUAUUUUUUAAAAGUCACAUCUAUUAUAUUAUAUUAUGUUAUAUUAUAUUAUUCUUUCCUUUUCUUUCUUCUAUCUAAUAUGCUUUACUCAUUUUACCAUUAUUUCAACAUUAUCAACUCUACUAAUCAUCACCCUUACAUUCUAACUUUUAUUUCACUCAAGAUCUUAUAUUAAAUUUGAGAGAAGAUAAUAUAUUGAUUACAAUGCAUGGAAUUUCUCUCAUUUUCUUAAAUAGAAAAUUUAGUUUGAUGACUAUCACAUAAUAUAUAUUGUUAAGAUGAAUGUAAUUUAAUUGGAAUAAAAUUUAUAGUUUAUUUACCAUUUUUCAAGAUCAAAUGUUAUGGUUUAAAAUAAAAAGAGAAACAAUUGGGUACAAUUUUUGUUUUUCUUUCAUUAAUUAAAUUAAGAAGAAAUGAAAUUAUAAAGAAUAUAAGAAAGGCAAAAACCAAAAAAGAAAUAGAAUAAUAUUUGAACAUAAAAAAACUAAAAGAGAAAGAAUGUGAAUGGAAGUAAAAAAAAAAAAAAAAAAAAAGAGAUGUAGAAAGGUAUAGAUGCAUGUAUAAGGCUGCAUUUUUAGCGCUACAUAUAGAGAGGUUUGGUUUAGUGUCUUCACUUUAUACCUUCAAUUAUUUCCUUUUCUUUUUUUUUUUUCUUUUUUAACUCAUCCUUUUGUUUUCCUUUAAUUUGUCUUCUUCUCCAUUUAAAUAUAGUCACUUCAAUCAUUUUUUUUCUCUCUCAAUAUUAUCUCUAAUAUCUUAUACUAUACAUUAUUCAAAAUUUACAUUAAACUUUUCAUUAAUUACAUCUAUCUUGCUCCUUUUUAUACAUGUAUAUAGAGUGAUCACUUGUAUAUAGUUAGUUUUUUAAAAAUAUAUAACAAAUAUAAUCAAGGUGGAAUAAAUUAAGACCGAACAACUUUCCAUUCAUUUAUUUUAAAAAGAUUAGAUUAAAUAUUGUAAGAGUUGUUGGCUAAUAUAUAGAGUGUGAAACGAAUCUCAAACCUUAAGAUUAGUGUUGUAACAAAUUAUGUGUUAACUGUGAGCUAUAUUCAUGUUGGCGACUUUAUUCUAACUCGUACUUUUGAAUUUCAAUAUAAAAUAUUAGAUACACGAUGAUGAAAAAUAUUGUAAUAUUCUUUGUAAAAUGAAAUCUCACUUUACCAAUAAUAUUAUGCUUAACUACUUUUGAAAUUAGGUUUGAUGUGUAUAUAAUAAAGUAUUUAUAUGAUUGAUAAUGAUAUAGUUGCAAGGUAGGAGUAAUAAUAUAUAUAUAUUAUAUAUAUUAAAAAAAGUGUGUGCCUUGAAUAUAGGAGUUGGGAAGGUGGGGCAACAUUGGCAUCCCAUGUGAAGCAUUUAAUUUAGACUAUAGUUUUCAUGUACGUGUUUAUAUAUAUAUAUAUAUAUAUAUAUAUAUUGAUUGGGUUUAUUACAUUUGACAAUUUUAUAUGCUUGUGGACAAAGAAGAACACUAUAUAUCCAACUACUAAUGCUUGAUUUUGACUAUGAACUUCUAAGUUUUGAAACAAAAUUAUAAUAAUUAUAAUUAUAAUUGAAUUGUUUGUUACAAUUUAGACUUGAGUUGGGCCUAUCUGCCAUUAUAAUGUCCGAAAGAGUAAGCCUGGGCCCCAUUUAGCCCAAUAACCCGGCCCACUUACAAAACCUUGUUGGAUAUUGGAGUCAAAUUUUAUUUUUAAAAAAGAUUUUCUAACACAAAUAUUCAGAAAUAACUUGACUAUUACAACUUUAUAUAAUAUCAACGUAGUAAUUAACAUGCCCCUAUCUAUUUUUAGGUUGGAUCAAUCCUUUCUGUAAUUGCUGUACUAAAAUUUUUAAAAAAAAAGUUUCAAAGAAUAAAGUAAAUUAAUGGUAAAUAAUAAAAUUGUUUAAAGCAUUUAUAAAAUAUAGCAAAUUUUCAUAUUUCAUCGUUGAUAGCACUACUAUCUAUGCACUUAUAAAAGUCUAUCAUGUUUGAUUAUACAAUCAUUACUUUAUUAAAUGUGGAUUAAAAUGCAAUAAUCACUUAUUUAGCAUGUGUUUACUUGUUCGUAGAAACCUUUAUUUAUAUAGAAAAAUUAAAUUUGAAAAGUUGGAGUAAAAACAUUAAUUCAAUCACUAUAUAUAUUUUUACGAAAUUUAGAAAUAAAAAAAUUGAAAAGAAAAUGAAUGAUAGUGCAACCAAGAAAUAAACUCAAUUCACGAAAUAAGAAACCUAAAAGAAUAGACUACAAAUAGAGAAGAGAGUACCUGAAGGAAACUAAAUACUAUUUAUUGAAAAAGUUUAGAUUUCAAACCAUAAUUCGACAGUAGAGGUACGGCUGGCGGCUCGGAUGCGGAAGAGGCGCGGCUCACGGCUCAAGUGCGGAAUGGGAUCGGCUCGCGCUCGGCAGUAGGACGGCUCAAGGCUCGGCUUACGACUCGGAUGCGGAAUGGGAUCGGCUCCCGGCUCCCGUACACAUACAGCUUGGACAGAGCGCGCGCUUGCGAGAGGAGACGGCUACCGGCGCGGACGCGGAAGAAAAGCUUCACACGGCGGCUAGGCUUCGUCGGACGAUCGGCUGUGCGCGGCUGAUGGAGAUAAAUUCGACGAACGAUCGGCUGGGUUUCGAAGAAGACCUUUCUCUUUUUUUUAAUUGCACUAAAUUUGAGGACCAUUUAUAAAUAAUAAUAAUAACAUCAUUACUUUUUCUUUCUUAUUUUCAUUACAUCAUAUUUUUAUGUUCCCUAAAUUUAUUAUCAUCGUAGUUAAAUUGAAACUUUUUAUCCAGCUAGAGUUGAUUAUUAUAGUGGUUCAUAAUGGUCACCGUUUAUGUUAGAGAAAUAAAAAAAUAGAAAAACAAACAAAAAUCUCAAGGCUACUGCGAAUGAGGAGGGAGUGAAGUGAAGUGAAGCUGUCUGUAUCCUAAUUAGCGACUAUCUGUUUGCGAGUCUCCCCCAGUUCAUGGUUCUUCUCAAUAAUCAUGACCUCCAAAAUUUCAGUUUCCACAUUACCAUUUCCCCCAUCUUCCCCAACAUCUACUUGCUCAAGACUUUCACCCUCCACUUCCACUUCCUCUUCCAUCUUAUACCCCAUAACCCCCAAAUUUCAUCUCUCCUUGUGUAAUUUCCCACUGGGUCUCCGCCUUUUCUCUCCAUGGACUGGUUUAAAGCACUUGGGUAUUUCUACCAGAGGAAGGUUUCCCGGUAUGGAUAUAAUACUCUUUUAUGUUUAAGAUUCAAUUACUUUUUCAUAUGUGUCUGUUUGAUUUCAUAUUGUCUGAAAGUGGUAUUUUUGCAGAGAGAAGGAAGAGAAUUCCUAAGGGGAAAGCAGUUUUUGCAUCUUUGUUUGGGGUUGGAGCUCCCGAGGCACUGGUUAUUGGGGUUGUGGCUUUGUUAGUUUUUGGUCCCAAGGGCCUUGCUGAGGUUAGUUAUACAAUUCUUGUAGAUUACAGAAAUUUUGGAGGUAUUUGGCUGUUUCAGAUUUGUUUAUUUCGUUUAAACGUUUUUGUGGAUUUUAUUGUCUGAUGUUUUCUUGAUGAUGGCAAAAGUUGCGCCUUUGAUAGAAUGAAUUCUCUUUAGAAAUUAGAUUCCAUCUAUUUAAGGUAGUCUGGUAGGUUUUGGUGUUGGUGCCGUUGACCAAAGUUUCUAUUAGAAACAAGAAACUUCCCUUACCUUAAUGCUCUAGUCUUUUUCUGUCUUGAGCCACGGUGGAGGAAUAAUUAGUGUUGAUGCAAAAAUCAACAUUUGCUGCCUCGGCCUGGUCGAGGCCAAGCAGCGCCAAGCAAUGCCGGCCCUAGUUAAGUCUUGUAUUCAAACCCAUUCCAGCCUUGGGGCAUCGUUGCUAUCGUUGCUGGCCCUGAUUCUAUUAUUUGAUUGGCUUUGUUGCCCUUUUUUCAUGUUUGGCAGAUUAUACCCAUUGGUCUCAUAACAAGUAUGCUGUAUUGUCGCAAUGACAAGAAGGGUAGCUUCCUAAUUCUUUGACAGACCUUCAAUCAUUGUUGUGUACAUGAUAAAGUGUGUUAAGAAAAAUCUCAUGUAUUAAAUUCACCCUUGUGACUCGGUUUGUUGGUAACUUAAGGAAGCGUAACGUGUAAUCACCAUAGGUUAGCCAGCCUAGUUACACGAGAGCUAUCAUAAAAAGUGAGGUUAUGAGUUUCUCUCCCAUUUACCUUUUGGAGGAAAAGGUGAUCUUUUUUGGUUUGUCUGCGUUUAGGCUUUGUUGCGGGAUCUUUGGGAGAGAAACAAUAGAAUGUUUAAAGGUGUAGUGAGGGGCUCUAAUGAGAUUUCAAGGUUUCAUGUUUCUCUUUGGACUUUGGUUUCAAAUAUUUUUGGUGGGCUUGCUUUUUUGUUUGCCCCUGUAUUGUUUCGUUUGUUUAGCUAGAGCCCUCUAUGAGUAAUAUUGACAACCAAACGUAGUAAGGUCAAACAAUUGUCUUGUGAGAAUAAGUGAGUUGAACCUCUGGUCCAAAUACUCACAAUUAUUUUAAAAAAUAACGUAACUUAAGGGGCAUGACUAAGAAUAUAGAAGCUCCUUAUGAAGAAAAGAUUUGUGCACAUAUUUUGGGAACUUUAGAGUUGGGGAGUGAUAAGGAACUCCAAGAAGUUUCAUUAGUUUGUACUUCUCUGAAAGGGUUUCUAUCAGUUAUAACUUAUAUUACGAUGUCAUAUUUAAAGCGCUGAGAAAUGAAAUCACUGCAUUCAUUGUCUCUUCUUUGGUAAAAUAGUGGGUGGUAAAUGUUUUAUAAAGAAUUGUGAGUGAUGUUGAUAGUGAUUAUAUUUUCUAAUUCUCCACAUCUCUUUUGCUGUGCUUUUUGAAAUUGAAUAAUUCUCAGCUUCUAUCACGCUUUACUUGAAAAGAACACUAAUGAUACUUGAUAUGAUUUUAAACAUCUUGGUUAUUACAAUGGACUAUCUGUUUAUUUCUUUUCCGAGGGUCUUGUCCAGUUGGAACCCAAAAAGUGAAGGCAUCGGCUGCCUCAUAGGUUUCCUUUUCCCUGUGCUGCACUCUUGUUUUGAGAACCCUCAUCAUCAAUGGUUCUCUGUGAGUAUUGGCUUGUAACUGUAAUGGAGAUAAGAAAGAAGGAUAAUCUCAUCUCUGAAUUAAGUAAUGCAAGUAUAUAAAUGAAAUCUAGCAUUUUAAAAGAUUCCUCCCUACUAUCAUUGGGUUGGCCUAGUGGUCAACAAGGUCCAUGAGUUUAAUAAAGGACCUAGAGGGAAUGAGCUCAAUUCAAAUUCACGGUGGCCAACUACCUAGGCUUUAAUAUCUUCUAGUUUCCUUGGCACCCGAAUGUCGUAGGAUCAGACAGAUUGUCCUGUGAGAUUAAGUCAAGGUGAGUAUUAGCUAACCCAAACACUCAUUGGUAUAUCAAAGAAAUAAAAAUUAAAGGGUCCUCCCUCUUAAUUUGAUGUAUUUGUUGUAUGCUCUCAAAAUUGUUGAUACUGACCCAAAUACUCAAACGGCAGUCUACCAUUUGUACUUGUUUGGAGACCAAAGUACAAAGAAAGUUGGUUUGGCUUUGGAGAUCUCAAAAGGCUAUGAAGGUCAACAAGUUCUUGGUAUACAUUAUUACAGUGUAGAGUGCUGAAAGUUGCUCAUUUAUGUUUCCUGAUAUGAGACUUGUAAAAGGGUAAGAGUAACUUUUUAAGACUGAAACCACUUGAAAUGAGGAGAUUGAUAUGUCAAUGUUAUUUAUUAAUUUGUUGUUAUAAACAGAAACGGGCAGUCUUAAAUGAACACAUGUUAGUGAAGAGUAAGGUUAGCCUUGGGUCCUUAACCCCAUCCUCAUUGUAAAAAGAUUAUAAUCCAGCAAUAUAUCAAUUGUAAUGGCCCUAAUGGGUGAUCCUACUUCUAGUCUUGUGCACCUCAAUGUAAACUUCAGGAUAUUGAGCUUUCCACUUGGAUGCUGGAACUCAAGAACUUGCAAAACUUCCUUAAAACGUCGAAAAUCUUUACCAGGGCCACUCCUUGGCAGCAAGGCUGAUGAUUUGAAACUGCUAUUAUAUAAGACAAUAAUUUUGGAACUUCUUUUGGUGGCUCUAUCUCCAAGUCUAAAGAUGAAGCUGAUGGAAAGUUCUUUUUCUUUGGUGUUUGAUAGUUCUUGAUUAUAGAGCUUUGAUCUCUGUGCCAAUCAAAUUUGUUCUGGGCAGGUUCAUGUGAAACAAAAAAAAAAAAAGAAAAACCUCACUGUCAGUUUCCUAUGUUGCCCUUGGGUUUGGUAGAAUGGAAUGCUAGGAUUUAUUUUGAUUUGCUCUUCUGACUGUUAGAUCAAACGAAUGAUGCUGCUCAUCUGAAAGUUGGUAGCAUUAUGUGCUUGAAAACUUGUAGAGUAUGGAAGGUGAAUGGUCAAAUUUGACUAAUCUUAAUCUGCUGGCUUUGUAGUCGAAACAGGUUGUCUGGCUAACUUUCUUUACAUUUUCAACCAAUUAGGAUCUCUUUCUGUAAACUUCCAAGGUGUUGGCUGGGGAAGACGAGAAAUCCUUGUUGAAAUCUUGAGUUUAAUUCUUAAAAACCUCUUCAGAGGCCUCCAGAAUGUUGCAUUUAAUCAAAAACAUAUAUCGAGUUUGCCUGAGUGAAAUUCUAAAAAACAUCUCUUCAGAGGCCUCCAGGAACUUGAAAGUUGAAGCUUUAUAAAGAAAAAAUCGUUCAAGUAAGCUGAUCCAUUGAACUUGGAAUUGGAUCUCAAAAUAGAUCAACCUCAAGUUAAUUUAACUAUUUUACCAACUAUCAAACAAAAAGGAAUUUGUUUUUAUCAAAAGCAUCUAGGACUUUGCAUAAGAUGAAAACAACUUGACAUGCAUUGAUUACCAAGUCUAACAAAAGACCUGAAAACCAUUUGGGCAGGUUUUUGUUAAAUUCUUUAGAAGAUUUAACCUAAAACAUAUCAAUAAGUCCCAAAUUUAGUUGACUUAACUUAUUUACAUGCAGGUUGCUCGGACUCUGGGGAAAACCUUACGUGCAUUUCAACCCACUAUUAGAGAACUCCAGGUUGUUAUAAAAGUAUAUAGUAUAACUUAUAUAUCAGUUUUUGAGAUUUUCUUGUAUAACUUCUUAUAGACCUUAUUGUAGUUUUUUGUUCUUCAUUUUUGUCUCUAGGAUGUUUCUAGAGAAUUCAAGACCACGCUCGAGCGAGAAAUUGGUCUCGAUGAAAUUGAGAGUUCAGUUAACAGCUCAUACAAUGCCAGCAAAUCUACCUACUCAAACCCACCUUCUGUUUCUAAAGCAGAAGAAUUUGUUUCAAACUCACCUUUUCUUCCUAAAGCAGAAGAGCUUUCAGUGGCUGAACCAAGUGAGCGAUUAAGUUAUUUCUUAUCCAUAUUCUUAUUUGUUAUCGGUACUUCUGUUCUAGGGAAGAAAGCUACAUAGAAAAAGUAGAAUGCCAAAUGGAAAAAAAAAAAAGAAAAAAAGAUCAGUAAGCAGCCUUAUUUUUUGAAAAUAGAAACAAAAAAUUAACAAUUAUUGUUAAACCAAGCCAUUUGAGAACAUGAAAUAAAAUUUAAUAGCUGCCGUGCAUCAUGUCUAGGAAUGUUAAAAUGAAACAAUCAGUAGGGUUAUAGAAUCAUCGUUCUGUCAGCUUCAAUUAUGAUACGGUUUUUGAAAGAAAAUUUUCUUAUGUAUUUUAACAGCAGAUGAUUCUUCAUCAGCAAGCAAAGCUUAUAGCUCUGAAGAAUACCUAAAAGUUACAGAAGAGCAGCUAAAAGCUCAAGAUGAGCUUCAAACCAAUUUUGUAGCCCAAAACCAGAGUGGAUCUCAAGUACAGCGUGAAGGUUGUUAAAAUCAAAUCUCUCAAGUUUUAUUUGAUAACUAUUUUGUUUUGAUCUCAUUUUUUAGGUAAACAUUUGAAUUCAUAGUCAAAUUCUAAAACCAAAUGGUUAUCAACGGGAUCUUCAUUUUCUCACCCUCCUCCUAAAACUCUAACAUAUACUCUUAAUAGGAACUGUUGAAGAACCUGCCACGGGUGCUCCUGAACUCCAAAAUCUUGACAUAGGUAAGGUUGAGGAGUCAACUGCCUCAGCACCCGGACCUCCUGGAACUGAGACGUAGAGUUAUUGGAAUCGGAAUCCAUUGUGGAUGGAUGAGUAUUUGUUGUUUCAUCAAUGGAUUGGAUAUGAUACAACAUGUUUGUUUAGGUGGGCAAUUAGAAAAUGUGUUAGUGUUUGGGAGAGGUGAUUUUAUCAGUGUCUUGGAACGUAAUUAGUUUCUAGGCAUUGGAUAAGAUGGUUUUUGUUGGAUUACUAUUAAGUAGAAUUCCUUCCUCAUUUCAUAUUAAUAUCUUCCACGGAUUUUAGUUUUAAAAAAAAAAUAUAUAAUUCUUAGUCUAUCAGUUUUGUGAAAUAGAUUCAAAACAUAUUCUAAUUAGAUUACCUUACAAAAUGGCUAAUAAAUAAUAUCCAUAAAAGAAAUAUAUAUAUAUAUAAGAAAUUUGAAAUUCUAACAUCUUGGUCAAUAAUUAAACAAUUUCAUUAUUAAUAAAAUAAAAAAGCAUUUUUGCGCAAUUAAAAAGGAAAAAAAAAGGGUCACAUAAUGUAAAUAACAUUAUAAAAAGCAAUAUUUCCCCAAGAAAUUCAAAACCCCAAAUUCUGUCCUCUUCCACUUUAUUCAAAUCACUUGGGAAAACAAAAACCUAAAUCUCCAAAACAAACUCCUUAUCCUUCUCCAGCCUCGCCAUAGCUUCUUCCUCCAAGCUUAUCUCCACAUCGAUUCCUCCAUUCUUCCCUUGAUACAGAUACAUCAUCCCAUCAAAUCUAUUAUUACAUCCACUCCUCACGCUCUCCGGUUUUCCCCAUCCAAAAUCCACCUCAUACACUUUAAAUCUCGGUGAACUCCCCACCGCCACACAGUUCAUUCCAGCGUCCUUGAACUCGAAGAUCUUCGGCGCACUCUCCCAUUCUUUGUUCCUUUGAUCGAUCGCCGCUGCGUCGUGUGACACGAUUGCCUUUUGGAUCACUCCAGCCCCGAAUUCCGCCGGAUUCAUCAGUAGUAAUCCAGCGGCAGUCCCGGUGAAUAUCGCUUGGAUUAGGUUUCCGAAGUAGCUCUCCGGCAUUGGCGGAUCCACGCGUUUACGGCAGUCUGCGAAAACGGUGAAGACGGUGAUGUCUUCCGGCUUCAGGUUUCGGGCCUGUGUGACGUGACGCCAUAUGUGGACGGAGAGUGAUUGGAAAGUGGAGAAUGGAGUUGAGCCGUCCGGUUUUGGUGGAUUUGCUGAGUUCACUUUUGAUUUGAUCUUGUUAAUGGCUGUUUCUGUGAAUUUGAAGACCUUCUCCUUUAGCGGUUUCGGAGGCGGGGCCGUGGAAUCGCCAUUGGCGGAUGCGGGUUGCGGUGGCGGAGGGGAUAUGUCGAGUUUUACUCGUGUGUUGCGCGCCUUGGUGCGCUCGAGAAAUGGAGGGACGGAUAUGUCUUGAGCCCCACGGGAGACCUCAGCCCAUGAGCUCAUAAAGUGCCACGUGGCGGUUCCAUCGAGUACGGCGUGAUUGAACGCGCAUCCCAUUGCGAUUCCGUCCUUAAGCUUGGUUAUCUAGACGGAAAACACACAGUAUUUGGUUGUUAGUGGGCUGUCUGAAGCUGAUUUAUUAGCCCAGUUACAACUAUUUUGCUCUGGGCUUGGACCAUUGAACUACUGAGCCUAGGCCCACAAUCCUCAUGAUGCCAUAUUGUGCCGGGGAUCCACAACUUUGGGACCCAGGCUAACAUGGUAUUGAAAAUUCAGUUUAAUAAUGAAACGAAAAUAUUAGAAAAGGAUAUAGUCACACAUAUAACCAUUAGACUGAAAAUAAUUAAGGAAUAAUUGUAAUGGAGGGUUAUUUUUAGAUUAAUUUUAUUAUAUUUACAAAUUUGUUAUAUACUUAAUUAUUUUGAAUAUAACAAAGUUUUAAAAAAACUUUUAAAUAUAUCAAUCUGUUAAAGUAUAUCAAUAUAAAAGUACUGAUAGACUAUUAUUAUGUUGUAAAUACUGUUCCAUCACUAAUAGAUUCUAACUUUUACUAUAUUUGUAAUUUUUAAAAAUGUUGUUAUAUAUUUAAUUAUUAUUCUUAAAAUUAUCAAUAAUUAUAAUUAUUCUUAAAAAUGUUAAUUUACUAAGAAUCUUAAAAAGAUUUUAACAAAUAUGAAAGAUAUAUAUAUAUUUAUUGCAUUUAUAUGGCUUUGACCAUUUUGGACUUUUGUUCAAUUUUACUCCUGAAUGUUUUAUGAAACUUAUUAAUUAAAUAUGUAGCAACAUGAUUGUAUCGCUAAUAAUAGAUUGGAAGAGUGAUCUAUAUAAAGGUUUUAAUGAUAUAUUUGUAAUUAUUAUUAUUUAUUACAAUUGUAAUGGCUUGUGUUUCUUUACACUAAAAUUAUUAUCAUUAUUUAAACAAUUUAAGUGAAAAUCAACUAUAAAGGGUUAAAAUUCGAAAAUAACUAUCAUAUUUAUUUUACCUGAACAGCCAACAAUGGCCUCUGGAGACCUUCCAAGUUGAGGAUCCCAUUGUAUGGAAUCAGCUCCUUGAGUGUAGCCGUGCCUUCCUCUGCCACCAAAUCGGCUAAACCCACAUCCUCGGCGACAGCUUCGGCCACCUCUACGCCUUCCAUAUCAUCAUCAUACUCCACUCUAAAAAUCCCAUCCUCAUCCUUACCCAACCUCCCAGCAAGCUGAUGGAAUGGCUCAAGAACCAUCUCCAGACCAUCCUUCAGCUUCUCCACCGUCUCAGGGAACUUCACCUCCCCCCCAUUGUCCCCGUAGAGGAUGAGCUUUUGGUUGUAGUAGAAGGCAAGAUAAGGGAGGUCAAAUGUGACCAAUUGGUAGUGUUUUGUACCCAGUUUUUUGUUGGGUUUGACAUGGGUUUUGCCUAUGAUUUUCACCUUCACUUCUUUCUCCUCUUUUUUCACAGCUUCAGGAAGAUCACCUGCCAUGGAUUUUGAACAAACAAACAAAGACAAAGUAAAAAGAAAAAUAGAGAUUAACUGAGGAUGUGGAGAGAAAAGGAAAAAGAUUUUGAGUGUUUUAUAGAGAAAGAAAGUAAGUAAUAUGGUUGGUAGUGCAUUUAUGGGGUUCAUAAGGUGCAGUUGUGACAUAUUAAUGUUUGUCUUGAAAGUUGAGAACCCACUGGCCACUGGUUCUGCCUUUGGAUGGAAGUUAGAGAAAUUACAUUGCCUUCUUCUUCUUCCUCUUCCUCUUGGUGCAAAAUAAAUUAUAUAACCAUCAGGCUUCUUCCCUAAUAAUUUAGGACCCGUUGUGUUUAUAAAUUACUUUUAAAAAAAGAAAUGUAUUGUAAUUCACUUCUUGAUUUGUAGAAAAAUAUUUCAAUAAACAUCGUUCAUUUCAUGUAAUGAGGUUGGAAAAGGUGUGUAUGUGAAGGGCAAAUAUGGAAAAGGGAGGUCUAAAAUUGCAAAAUAAUAGUGACAAAAAUUGACCAAACAAGUGGUUGGAGAGUUUUAGUUGAGAUGAAUUUAUUUUGGAUUUUUGGCAAAAGCAUCCCCUCUUUAAUAACCCAUAAGGCUCAUCCUAAUUUGGCAUUACAUAUCAAAUGGAACCCACCCAUUUAUUUUUAUUGCCUUUUAACUUCACUACCAAAACAAAAUAAUAAUAAAACCUUCUACCCAAUUUUCAAACUAAGAAGUAAUCUUUCUUACCCACUCUAAAUUGAUUAAUUUAUAAAAUUUACAAAUUUAACUAACUCAAAUCAUAACUUUCUUAUCCCCAUAUUAGUUUAUCAAAGAUUAAGAAGUAUAUAAUUUUAUCCCAUUACUAAAAUUUAGGGUUUAAAUAAAUAAAAUUAUUAUUGAACAAGUCAUAUUAACUUUUAACUUUUAGAGGUUUAGUGACAUUUUCAAAAAUAGCAAAAUAUUAAAACUAUUUAUUCCUAUAUCCAUUAAAUUUUCUAUUCUGGUAUAAUUUUAUGAAAUUUUUUCAAAAAUAGUAAAUUUUACAAAAUAUUUACAAAAUAUUUACAACUUAUAGCAAAUUCUAUAACUGAUAUAUUAUGGUGAUAAAAGACUAUCAUUGAUAGAAUAAAUAUAAGAUAUGGUUCCAAAUUUUGAAUUGAUCUUUUUUUUAUGUGCACAGAUAAACUCAUAUUUAUUGGACAUUUUCAAAUAUAAUACAAUGAAUUAAAAUAUUUACAAAAUUUCAAACUAUAUCAAUCUAUCAAUGUCUAUUAAAAACAACUCUAAAACAAGAAUAGCUCAAUUUAUGACAUAGUGUUUAUAUUCUCAAUUAUAAAGUGAAAGAUUAGUGUUAGUGUAAGGAUAUUACAAGAACACUAUGAAGAAUCUAACGACCCAUUUAGAUUGAUUUAAGAAAAAAGUGUUUUAAAAAAACACAUUUUGAUUUAAAUUCUCUUUCGACUAAAACUAUUUAAAAUAUAUUUCAAAACUGAUUAUCGAACGACUUAUUUUUUAAAAUUAAAUAUUUUAAAAUGCAUUCCAUACUAAUCAUUUGGUUAGACUCUUAUUUUGACUGCGUUGACACAUUGACUUACUAGAUUAAACUUUGUAGAUAACAUUCAUUUAAAUCUAGAAAAUUAAAAUUUGGUGGCGAGAGUAUCUAACUACCCUUUUCAAACUUAUUGAAAAAAUAUAUUUGAUUGAACUAAACUCUUAAAUGAUUUAAAGUUACUCAAUUUAGAACGUUUUUUUUUUUAUCAAGAUUUAAAUGUGAAAAUCGUACAUGCAUUCAAUUUGUACACUUUUACUAACUUAUUCAAAAGUCAUACUAAAAAAUUGAAUAAUUAUCAUUGAUACAUGGACAUUUUUUUUAAGUAAAUCGUAAUCAAGAGUCUAAGAUGAUUAAUUUAUAUUAUUAAGGAUUUAAUGGAUAAAAUGAUAGGUUGUUAUAUGGUAUCUUUAUUUUUUAUAGAAAAAGUUAUAUGUAUAUAUGUUGUGUCACAUGUAUUUUUGCAACAUUAAUUAAUGUGUGAAGCCCACAAAGAGGUUGGCAUUAAUAUAAACAGCAGCAAUAAGUGAGAGUGCUUAUUUUGGUUCCUAACCUUUCCAUAGCCACAAAAGUAGUUAUAGACUUUUAGUUAAAUCAAUGUUAACUCAAAAUCAAUAUAUUUCUAUUUUGACCAUUUCAUUAUCAACUUUUAAUCAACUAAUACUUAAUUAAAUACCCAUUUAGAAUGCAGAAUGGAACCAUUUUGAAAUUAUUUCUAUUAGUAUUUUGUAUUCGAUUGUUUAUAAUUAAAUUUUCUAACCUAAUCGCGAACCCAACAAUACCAAUUAAGUUAAAAUUUGUGAUUGGAGGGUAAAAUCCAUCUCAAAAUCUUCAAAUGAAAUGUUUAGAGCUUCAUUUCAAGUUUGGUUAAUUAAAAUCAAAUGAACAAAUAUAGAAGAUGGGAAGUAAUUGGUUUGAAAACCCAUCAACUCCAUUAAAUGGAAUAACUUCCUAAUCCUAUGUUCUAACCAUUUAAAAUUUCUCACAUAUAAUUUCGCAUAUUGUAUGCCUUUAAUUCUAUGUUUCUCUCUUUAAAAUACUUUAAAGAUAUAUAUAUACACAUUAUCAAAUAAAAUUUUAUUCGUCUCUAUCCUAAAUAUCAUUCACCAAAACCAAACUAUAAUGGUCUUACAUGUCCUUUCAAUUCUAGAUUUUUCUUUUUAAUUUUUAAAAUUCAUUGAGAAGAAUUUUUGUUAAGGUGUUCCAUUUUUUUUUUUUUUUAACGUUCGAAAGCAGUUUUAUUUAUUAAUUCAUGUAUUCACCAUUAUUAUUAUUAUUGAAAAUUUAAUGGAGUUAAAUUGAGGUAGAUGGAAAAUAAUGUCAUAUCCCAUUAACUCAAUUGAAGAAUUAUAAAGUCAAUAUAAUGACUGUGAGUGUCAGAGUAUAUAUAUAUACCAAAAUCAACUUUAAAAUUAAUCUUAUUAUUAUAAUUAUUAUAUAAUAAUUAAAUUAACAUUCAUAGAUUAAAAAAAAUCUUUCUCAGGAUGGUGAAUGUCAAACUAUCAAGUGCACAUGGAUAUGGGUUUGUGCCCCUAUAUUAAAUGUUAUCAUAAAUAUUGGCCACGAUGCAUAAUUUCUUGACCUACAAAAUUGGAGGAAUUGUUUCUUUUUUCUUUUUAUCAUAAAAUAUUAUAUUUGAGAAGAUAAAUCAAACAUACUUCAUAUCCAAGUUAGCACAUGAUUUUCCAUUUUCGAAAACAAACAUCAUGCAAUAGUUCAAUGAGGAAUAAUUACAUUAAUUUACAAAAUAUAACUAGAGUAGUUAGACAUCAAUCAACCUCAUUUGCGAUUUAAUUCCUCUUUUAAAUAUGAAAUGGAUUUAGUUAUUCCAUUAUAUAAAGAUGAAAAGAAAAUUGGAUUAUAAAAGAUUAGAGAGUAACUUAGGAAAAAAGUAAUGUAGGAUUUUAUAACUUACUUACUCAAUCACCCAUAGGGGAAAAAAAUCUCAAAUACCCACAUAAUUUUUCGAUAAUGUUAUAGCUUCCCUUUACCAUUUAAUGUUGUCAUUAAUUUGUGGCACAUUACUUCCAGUUCAAGGUUUUUGAAGUUCAUAUCAGACAUUUAUGGAGGGGGAAAUGGAUGAUGAUGAACAAAAUGUGGAGAGUUCAAUUUCAUCUUCAUUUUCUUUUCCCAUAAAAAGUUAGUAAAAGUCAAUGACAAGGUAUAUGAAUCCUCUCGUUAGUUGAGGCAUGUAUUUUUAACCCAAAUAUUCGAAGUUACAACUUUUCAUCUCAAAGUAAUUUAGGGUGAAAAGAGAUGAUAUGUAUGUUAUAAUGUUUUCAAGAGUUCUCUACCUAGAACCAUUAAAGAGUACAAUUCAACUAUAACUAUAACAGAAUAUAUAUUUGGAAUUCUCCAACAAUUGACUCGAAAGAAAUAGUCUGUACUAUAAAUUUUUAUCUCCAAGUAAUUCAGAGCAAAAAAAGAAACAUGACAUUUUGAAGAGACUACUUGAAUGGUCUACCAAUACGGAACAUGAAUUACACGAGUAAGAUUCUAAUUGUAUUGAACAUACCAAUCCAUGAUGUGGUCAUUAAAAAAAUUAGAUUCAUAUGUUCAAAAAAUAGAAGAUUACAGAUUGAAUCGUUAUCAGAAUUGUACCUUAUUAGAGUAGAAGAAGACUCUCCUUAUAAGAAUCUGCAUAAACCCAAUGAGAUCCCAAUUCAAUUCCAAUAUCUUCAAUGCGAUCCAGUUCAGUGUCAACCAAUGCAAGGCUGGGGUUCCCCAUCUCUUCAAUCUGCCUAACAGUGAGAAAUUUAUAGUCUAAGAGGCUCCAAGGUCUUGUUAUUUUCCCAUGCAAUGGCAGAACAAUAGAGUUUAAUCUCACCCAAGACCCCAUUUUCAAAGCCCAUGUGUCACACACUUGCUUCCCGUUCCCACCAUCAGGCCUGCAAUGGAAAAUAGAAAGAGAUUCUUGGACUACUCCCAAGCAUAAUGGUGGAGUGUCUAUGUAAACCAAACAAUCAGGCAACAUUAGUCUAUGAAACUCCUCAGUGGCUAUGUCAAAAGAGAGAAUGGAAUUGGGAAUUCCACCAUUUUUGUGCUUCACAAUCCAAUAAAUAAGCCCAUUAGAGCAGAUGGAUUUGGACAACAAUCUGCAGUCAAGUGCAGUAGGAAUUGUAGGAACAGAAGAAACUCUCCUCCAACAAUCAGCUUUGAGACUGUAAAUUUCCACUUGAUAACAGCAACUCCAUUGCUCAAUCCUCACAAUUCUCAACACUAUGUGAUCGUUCGUUGCUUGAUGGAAGCCAAAUGCUAGGUAGUUUAGAGGCCAACAAUGGUCCCAUUUGGGAAUCAAACUACUGGGAAGCAACCUAGUUUUCCUAACAGAAGGGUUCCAUAUAUAAAUUGGAUCAACAUCCAAUAGACUUGCAGACGAAAUGCAAACUAACCCAUUAUAUGAUCCACAAACAGAGAGUUUAUAGCCUAGAUUGGCCUUCAUAGGAAUCUCUGAUCGAAAAGUUUCAUUGAAUGUUUCAGCAUUAACAAGUGAGAAACAUGCUUUCUGGUCUGUGGGGGAGCUAUUGAUUAUGAGCAGAGAAUUUGGGAUUCUCUUUUCCAAAUGGGCAUUAACAAACAAUGGGUUCUGAACUAAUUUGUUCCAUUCUUUGCAUACACAUCUGAAUCGCAGAAGCGAUUUCACAGGUAAAUACGAAAGAAUCUCAAUCAAAAUUUCAGUUGGACAAUUUACAAACACAUCGUGGGAAUCUAGUAGUACUCGCAUAGUUAGGCAGGAAAUCCAAACGACAGAAACCAAGUAGACAAUAUUAACGAAAAUAGGUUGAAAUGCAAGAGCAACCCCCAAGAAAAGAAGUAAAAUCUGCAGAUUUCACCUGUGAAUCAAAAGUAAUUUGAACUAAACUCAAAUGAAGAUUGCAAUCAAACAAUUUUUAUCGAGAUCUAUGCUAAUAUUUGGAGCACAAUCAAAGUGGAAAAAGGGAAGAAACGGUUGGUUGAUCAAUUGAAAGUGAAAGAAAAAAGGUAAGAUUCUGAAAGAAAGAGGAAAAAGAAUUCACACCAUCAAUCUUUGAACUGAUUCGAUUGGUUCCAAAAGUGUUUGGGAAGAGAGAGAGAGGGUGAGAUUAAAGUUAUAGUAAGAAGCUUUAAGUUGAAGAUUGGGAUUUGGGAUAUGGAAGCUCAGUAGUGGCUGCCAUACGCAGAAUAUUGUCCGUUACGGCGCCCACUACGCACAUUGAACAUCGUGACGAGCGCCAUAAUAUUGCCGCUAAGCUUUCUCCCAUUUCUCCCGCUUUAAUUUACUAUUCACAUAAAGCUCCAAUACAACCAAAAUCCCACUUGGCUCAAAUUAUGUAUUUUCUAAAUUCUGAAUUCAUAUCUAUUGAAAACUCUUAUCUAAUUUUAAAUAUCGUAUAAUUAUAUUUUAAAAAAUCAAACAAAAAUACAAUGAACUGAAUCUACAUUUCUUAAAUAUACAAUAAAAUGUUUAUAUAUAUAUAUAUAUAGAAAACAAAAAUAAACGAACCAUAUAAACUAAUUUAGACCGCCCACCCUAUAUGUUGGGAUUGAUAUUGAAAUUCAAAAGAAAGAAAAGUAGGGGAGAAAAGGCAUAUUCUAAAUGCAAUUAUUGUUUUAGAAGAAUAAGACAUUAGUCCAUAUUUUGACUAUAAUCUUUUUCUUUCUUUCUUUCUUAAAAGAAAAAACUAUAAAAUAAAUUAUUCAUUUUAAAAUAAUCUAUUAUAAAUUAAGAAAGUGAAAAUUAGUGAAAAAUCAAUUUUACACAGUAUACACAUAUAGAAGUGUUAGGUUUUAAAACUAUUAUAACACUAUACCUAAACUUCAAAGAUUAAAGGAUCAAAUUGGUAUUUUCUUUUUCAUAAAAAGUGAAUAAUUGUUAUUUAUUAAAAAUAAAUACAUAUUUUUUUUGUGAUUUUGAAAAUUAUUCUAGGCGAAAAACUAAGUGAGCCUAAACACGCAUCCCACACCGAGCCCAACAAACAAUAGCCUACAACGAAUAUAUGAGCUCAUGUUCCAUUGGGCCCAAACGAACAUCCCGAAACUCAUGAACUGAAUAGGCACGAACCGACCCGAAUACGAUUAGUGUUUCUUCCUCUAAAAAUCUUCGUCGCCGUAGCCAAGGUCAUCCUCAACCUUCUGCGCUGCGUCCUCGGCGAUCUGGUCCUCCACAUACUCGACGCCC
rnacentral:lncRNA from 1 species